AUUGACCCGGAUCCGACCCGGAAACCCGCGACCUUGACACGAUUGUAUCUCCCGAUUCCGGCCACCUCACCGGCCGAGCUUGGUAUCGAUCUGAAGCUUGGAAGCCGACCGUUAUAUCCCAGCUGUCCUCGUCGCCGGAAACCGACUAGAACGCCGGCGAUUUGAGCUCGAAAACUCGCGGCCAAAACCCGUUUUCCCCGCCAUCGAUUUCGCCGGAGUUUGGGCACACUUCCAGCUAGGUUCUACUCCUCACGUCACCAGCAUCAUUUUCCGACCAACCUCGUGACCCGAAACGGCCGGAUUGCCGGCGAUCAACCACUUGGGAAGCUCGCGGUUUUGGAAGCUCGAUUUGCCGCUGUUGCCGCGCGUGGGAGGUCACCGCCGGCACCAUUGGACUCAGCGUGGCUUGAAAUUUCAGUUCUGAGCUUCCCGUUGCCGUCGGAUGAAUUCCGGUGACCGUUGACCGGCAAGGGUAUUUUGGUAAUUUCACAGUCUAAGGGCAAUUUUGUAAUUUCAGAUUUUGUGGGUAUUUUGGUAAUUGCUGUAAUUGAGGAUAAAGUUGGUAAUUUAUGAUUUUGAGGUUAAUUUGGUAAUUUUGAUAUGAGGGUAUUUUGGUAAUAUUGAAUUCAAGGGCAAUUUGGUAAAUUCAUAAACUUGAGGGUGAAUCUGUAAUUUGUGGAAUCAAUGGAUAAUUUGGUAAUUUUAAGUUAGGGCAGUGAGGUAAUUUGAGAUUUCGAGGGUAAUUCGGUAACUUAAGUUGUUAAGGACAUUUUGGUAAAUUUACGCUCCGAGGGUAAUUUCGUAAUUUUUGACAUUGUGGUUAUUUAUGUGAUCUGAAUUAAGGACAAUUUGUUAAUUGAAGAUUCUGAGGAUAAUUUGGUAAAAUAAUGAUGUUGGGGGCAUUUUGGUAAUUUUGGUAUGUAGGGGUAUUUCGGUAAUUUUGUGCAUGCGGGAAUAGUUUAUUGUUGAUAGAUAUUCGUUUCGAGAUUUAUUAUAUAAAAUUGGUUGUAUUUCAAAGUUACGGAGAAUGAUUAUGGCGUUUCCUUGAUUAGGAGGAUUCGCAAACGAGAAUUUAACCCGCGGACGUUGUCGACACCGAGUCUGGACAUUGUCACUGUGAGUGGAAUAUACAAAACCUAUUUUCAAAGUACAUGAUGAUUUUAUGAUACAGUGCAGUAUGUUUUGAUAAAUAAGUGUUUAAUGCUUCGAUUUAAUGAUUUUCUAGAAAAUUGAUUUUUAUUUAUGUGUUGAUAUUUAUUGUUAUUGAGAAUGAGUUUGAUUAAUGAUUUUACUAUCGAUUUUGAGUAAAUGCAUGAGAUUAGAAUUGAGUAGAUUUGAGAUAUGUUGAAUAGAAAGAAAAUGAGAUUUCAGAUGUGAUUAUAUGUUAAUGUACAUGUGUAUAAAUGUUGUUUUUGAAAUCAUUAGACAGUACCCUUCCCUCUAGAUACAGAGAUACAGAUAUGAGAUACAGAUCAGUUAUUGAGAUACAGUGAUACAGAUAUGGGAUACAGAUCAGUUAUUGAGAUACAGAGAUACAGUGAUACAGAUAUGAGAAACAGACAGUUGAGAUACAGGCCUUUGGGGCCCGUCUGAGUACACACAGAGGCUUUGGGCCGUGUACUUGGGCGCUUUUGUCCUUUGGGGACUAGAUUAUGCAUGCAUAGAUAUGAUGAGAUAUGAGAUAGUAUUUCCCUAUCUAUCCAUGUAGCUCCGGGGCGUGACGUUACCUAGAUAGUGCGUCAUUGCCCGUCCGUUGAGGUCCAGAUAUGAUAAGCUUUUUUCCCAUCUAUCCGUUGUAGCUCCGGAGCAUGAUGGUUCCUUGAUUGCCCGUCCGUCGAGGUCCGGAUAUGAUAAGAUUAGUCCCCUGGGUACUUGUUUGAUGAUAGUUUUUGGUAUUCAGUAUUUGAUAUGAUAAGUAUUAUAAUUUCAUCGAUUUUAUGCAGAUUUAUGUAAUAUAGUAUUUCGGUGAUUGAUUUGACUUAAAUAAGUUUAUGUAAGUUCUUAUGAUAUUUUGAUGAAAUUGAUUUGAGAAAUUGAUUUGAGAAAGAUUGAAUCAUUUUAAAUAGAUUUAUUUAUUUGUCAAAAAUUACUAUCCACUCAUUGAGCUUACUGAGUUUUAUACUCAUCCCGUUUUUAUUAUAUUUUCCCCCGCCCACAGGAGAUUUGCAGGUACAUCAGUCGACCCAGUAACGAUAGUUAGAUUUGAAAUUGUGGCCACAUGAUGGUGACAGGAUGUCGUAGAUUUAAUUAUUUUGAUAUUUGGGAUAUUGCGAAUUGUAUUUAUUUAUUAUAUUUUGUAAUUAAGGAUAAUCAUUGUAUUUUAACAUUAGAAUGAUUUUGGGUGGUAUUUGGUAUGUUGGCUUGAGAAGUCGGUUGUGGAGGAUGGAUGAAUAUUGAAUUAUUUUGGAAGUAUUGUUUUGUAAAUUGCAGGUUGAGAAUUAUAAUAUGAACCGAUAUCUAAAGGUCCGGCUUCUAAAUCAAAUAAAAGCUUAUUCAUAAUUAACCCCCGGCGAUGCCCAAAAACUCUAUGAACAAAUUAUUAUACAAGCAAGUUACUGCAUAAUUAUAUUUCUUAUUCGUGGAUAGCACUUGUAAUAAUUCAACUUGAUUUUCUUUCAAUGACGAUUAUAGCAUGAUUCAGUCAUUCUAUUCACGAUAAAUUUUUAUUUUUUUCGUGUCCUUUUGCACCUUGGCAUCAAAGCACAAAGUACAAGGGGCAAUUGUUCGAUAUGAACUUCAUCACCGGCAUGGUUAACAGUAACAUGGCCCAAUAAGCAAGCCCAAGUGAAAAAGGACCAAAGGGCAGCCCAAUAUUGUUUCCGCUCUUGACAUCCAGGAAAUCAAGCAAGACUCAAUAAAAACACAUUUAUUAAAUAUUAUUUUUUAUUUUAAUUUCUCAAAAGAAUUGAUAACAAAUAGCUAGGUUGAGGAGUAUAUGUGAAUUACAAAAAAUCAUAAUAAUAAUUAUCUUCGUAAAUUUACUGAUAACAUUUUCUAAUUGAAUAAGGGUAUUUUCUAAUUGCUAUUCGGCUUGCACAAUUAUCUUCAACACUUUGUAGGCUUGGUUGCUUGGUCGUUUUGAUUUGUAGACUUGUAAUGGAUUCAGAGAUUUUUGUUCUUUGAAUAGUGGGGUGUUCCUUUCGGGGAAAAAGGGAAAAAAAGAAAAAAAGAAAAAUAGAGCGAUGUUGGCUAAGCAAGGUUGGUGAAUGGUAUUUGAACAUUCUUUGGGCUGAAAGCUCGAUACUUUAAACACAGUUCUUUUCUUACCGCAAAGCAUGGUCAUAACCCUUUUCUUAUAUCUGUUGAAGUCUUCUAUGAGGGCAUGGCGUUCUUGAACGAGGUAUUUGGUGACAUAUUAAGUGUGGGUCACGCAACUCACAAGUGGAUGUCUAUCACGGCAAUUGGAUUCCACUGCUCAAAUAUUUUCGCGCAGUCUCUAGUGCUUCGUUUUGAUACAAAAGUGUCUCCUUGUGCCAAUGGAUAGUAAUCGUAGGAAUAAUGCUUUGUUGCGGAGUAUUUUGUGCCGAUGGAUGUUGAAUCCAUUUUUUGAAUUCAUUUGCCUAGUACUCCAACGGCUAAUGAGGUGUUACGACAUUUUGCGAAAGAUGGCAUUUCUACUGUUAAAUAAGGGUGUCUUAUGUCUUUGGCUUGGGAGAAUAUGGAUGUUGCGAAAAAUUCUAGUAGUUCUUCAAGGGAUCGGAAUAAGAUCUGGCAUUUAAAUGUUCUUUGGAAGGCCAAAUUCUUUUUGUGGCAGGGUUACAUAGUUAUGUUUCAUUUAGUUAACGGCUAUUUGAAUUGAAGAAAGGGUUUGAUGAAUACAAACAUAGGACAGUGCAGAGAUCGAAACCAAACUUUAUGUUAGUGUAAGGUGCCCAAAAUCUUUUGCAUCGCUGCACUGCUUAAUUCAAAAUGUUCUUACAAAUGCCUUUGGCGGUCGGUCACAAUUUAAUAUAUUACCCAAUGGUGUUCUGUGUCAAACUCUAUUUUGAGAUUUUUGUGUUGAACUAUUCUUCUAUGGAUGUUUGGCAAAUGGUUUUGAAGGUUUUUGACACUUUUGGAGGACUGAUCUUGAAUUCUUAUGUCAAUUAUCAUGCUUUAUAUGGGUUGAGUGGUUCUACAGGAAUAGAUAUCAAUUGUCACACACGCACACAAUUACACGCACACGCUUAUAUUUGCAAUGUUGUAAAUAUUUUACAACACUGAUUUUAUGUCAAAACAAAGUUAAGUUUAUAGUUUAAUCACUACGGCUUCCAUCAAAACAAAAUCCUGAAUCUGCCGUUGACUAAGAAUGCUCGAGACUUUUUUAUUAAAUGAGGUCCUGGGGAUAAAAUCUUAGGUGAAACAAUCCCAUAGGACCCGCACCGUCAUCAUAUAGAUGUGGUGAGAUUUUCUGAUUUUCAAAUUUAAAUUUGACAAACAUGAGAGACAAUGAUGGUGGGACUGAAAAUUUAAAUUUAAUUGGACGGUGCCAUCCCUCUCUCAUGUUUGUCAAAAUUUAAUUAAUUAAAUAGUUUAACAUAAGUUUUUUUCAACAGCAAGACAAUGUUUGUUUUAAUGUAAAGUCAGUGUAUUACGUCAAAGCGAGAAAGGAUUUGCUAUUGGUUUAAUAAUAUGGUUUGACACUAAACUGAUUUAUUAUUGUGAUAAUUGUCUUAUUUUUCUUAGUUAUUUUGCGAAUGUGAUUAAACCGAUUAAAUUGGUUCUCUUUAAUUUAGUUUAGCAUAUACAUAAAUGUAUCCCUAUAGCAAUCUCUACGGAUAAUACACUCGCAGAUUGAUCGGUCAAACUCUCGCAAAGUUUUAAAAAAACUGAAGUAACAAAAAUAAAUUAGUCCGAUCAUUGACCUGACUAGGCUGGAAUGCAAACAUUAGCAUGUGGGUUCAUUUUUUUUUUUCCAAGUAAAUUUUUUUUAAUCUCUACAGUGUGAGUAAACAGCAAUGCAAUUUAUACCACACAAGUAAAAAUAAUUGAAGAAAAUAAAUAAUAUGAAAUAUAAGAAAAUUAAUGAUAAAAUAUGGUUAUAUUGGUUUGAAUAAGAAAAAUAUUUUCGUAUAAGAAUUCCAAUCUUAUGCAAUUUAUACCACAGGAGGAAAAAUAUAUAAUUAAUUCAAUCCAACUUAUUCUAAUUAUUAUUAUUAUUUUGAAUAUAUAAUUAUUAUUAUAUAGAUGUGGAAAAAUAUAUAAUUAAUAUUGCCAGUAUCGCAUACAGUUGCAAAGCUACAGCCACUACUAAAAAAAUGACCUUUACUAACACUUAGUUUCUGACACUUUAUAAAAAGUAUCAGUAAUUAUGUACAUAUGCACCAUUUUCCGCUUUUAACAAACAAAUAUUAUAAAUUAUUGAUACUAACGUGUCAGUAAAUUAAAUAUUAAAAAUCACUGAUACUAAAGUAUCAAAAGUUUAAAAAAAAUAAUUAGAAUUUGUAAAACUUUGAACUCGAACCUAAGACUUCUAAAAUUUAAAAUACUUAUGUUUGUUCCGCAAACCAUCAGACCGAUAGAAUUAAGACCCAAAUAUUAUAUUAAAAGAUUAAAGAACAAAAAUUAAAAAACAAAAUCCCCAAUCGAUCUCUUCCCCUCAUUUCGUCUAAGUGAAUAAAACUUACAAACGAAAACUUACAAAAUCCCUAAAUCUACCACGCCGCCGACGCACCCAAAACCUCUCCUAUCACUGCCGUCACUCGACUACCCACUGCCGUCGACUCCCAUGCACCAAAGUCUGGUCUCUUUUGCUGUCAUCAUCUCCUGUGCACCAAAGUUCAAAAUCCCCUGUCGUGAAAGUUCAAAAUCCCCUGUCGUGAUUUAUGAUUUUGUGUCAUCAUCGGUAAUAAAUCCACUGUCGUCAUCACCCUAAGGUCGUAACAGCUUCCACCCAUCAUCAAUACUCAGCUAUUCAUCAUUGGUAUAAUAUAUCAGCCUUUGUGGUCGCUGUUGUACUACCUCAAUCUCCGUCGUCGCUUCCGUACUGCCUCAAUCUCUAUUCAAGGUAAGCUCAAUCUUAUGACUGCCUCAAUCUCUGCCUUUUUUAAUUUAUUUCUUUCAUUGGUCUUCUUUCUGUGCUCUCCUUAAUUUCUAAUUGACUACAAUUACAAAUUAAGAUUUAUUUUGAUAAUUUUGUUAUAAUUAUUAUUUUGACGAGAUCAAAUUUAUUUUGAAAUAUUUAUAAAGAAAUUUUAUUUUUCUGUCCAUUAUCGCCAACUUAUUACUUAUACAUGCGACGUGAUAGAAUUUACUUACCGCACACAUUAACUAUACUGAUUUUGAUGAAGUAUUGCUCUUGAACAUGUACUAGAAUUAUUGUUGCAAUGAGUCUUUGAUUAUCGACAUGUUAUUAGCAUCUCUUAAUAGAAAUAUCUAGGUUAUCCAUGAUGACUUUAAAUUGAAAAAUGGGCUUAAUUGAAAAUGGCAUGAUGGGCAAAUAAAAGUCAUGAACAAAAAAGUGAAGUGGAGGGUAAAUGCAGUAGCAUUAGGCAUCUGGCGGCAGUAGAGGCAAGUAGGUGGAGAUGGUCCUGGUGGGUAUUGUAAUGUAAUAAAGAAAAAAGGAGUGGGUUGCAGUUGUAGUUGCCUAUUGUAGAGUGAGAGGGACUCAUGAACCCUUUUGUAAUAUUAACAAAUAUGUACACACAUAAGCUAUACAUUUGUCUAUGUGUACUUAAUUCAACUAGAUUUGGAUUGCUAUGAAGUCGGGUAUGAAAAUUAUGUUUGAUUUUAGUUUUCAAUGGAAAUUUCAAAGAGAAUCCCACGCCAUUGAAAUUUCAAACAGGGAGGAGAGUUAAAUGGUUGUUUCCCUUUUUUCUAUUUGGUUCUUCCCAAGUUGAAAUGAAAACGAACAGUAGAAUAACAUGGUCUUGAUUGGGGUGAGCAUUUGACUUGGUUCAAUCCAAACUGAAUCUAAUUGAGCUGUAUUAUGGCAGUUCGGUUCAAUUCGAUCAGGCAAUAAAAAUCAAAUGAUUCAUGUGAUUUAUUUAAUCUAUAAUAAAUAUGAAUAAAAGUGUAUUUGAAAAUAAGUGUAAUAUUAUAAACUUAUGUUGUUAGGGGAAUUAUUAGAGAUUACAAAAAUGGUAGGAGAUAACAGUAACAGAAAAAUUGGCAAUCUACCUUGGGAAAAAUGAAGAGAAUAAUUCUUCUUGCUGCAUUUCUAUUGUCAGCAUUUGGUUUUGCUACGAGUAUGUAUACUUAUAUCAUGGGAAGAACCAGAACUGCAACUAGAGUACAUAGGCAGAUGCAACUAGUUAGGACUGCGGAAAUUUCUUUCUCUGUGGUUCAAUUAGUUGUUACGCUUGCUAAUUUUAUUCUGGCAGAAUUGGGUGUCAAAAACAGCUUUGAUGCAUAUGUUUUCUCACUAGUCUUUGCUAUAAUUGUUGCUGCAUUUAAUAUUAUAUAUGCUGGGGGAGUUUCCAAUUCAUCAGGCUUUGCCUCUCCUAUUGCCCCAGCUGCUGAUCACCAACUGUGAAAUUCCCAGGUAUGAUUGUGAAUAUAAUUGUAAAUAUCAAGCUGCACUGGGGGAAUUCAUGUAAGCAACUCAUCACCUCUAUUACCUCCUACAAAUUUAAAUAAACUUGUGUUAGAAUAUAUGACGGCAUGGCAAUUAUGCUCGAGUCUAGGAUUAAUUUGUUGUCCCUUGGCUAAUUCUAGCCAUAUGCUACUUGAUCCUAGGCUAUUAUAUGAAUCAAGGCAUUCAUUUAAUGUAGGGGCUCACUAACUAUAUAACCCCUCUUUUGUACAUUCUUUUAUAUGUUGAAAUACAACUUUGCAUCAAUUGUCUCUCUUUUACUUUUUAGUUUGCUUUCUUUUUGUCUUAUUACAAGUUGCAUGAGUCGACAAACUUUUGAAGUGUUGUGGAAGAAGGCAAUAUAAAAAUUGUGAGAUUCCAUUAACUUAAAUGCAUUUGUAAAUUAGUAAUUCAGUCGUUAAAUGACUAUAAAAGAUUUAUUUUAUAAUUUAUAUUUAUAAUGCUAGAGUGCCUCUGUUAGAUUUAGAAAUCUUUUAUGUAAUUAACGAUUGUUUUUGUAGUACUAUGGCUACAUCAGAGCUGAUAUCAAAUAUUUGAUUGUUUGUAUCUUUUGUAGGUUCAUAACCCAAGUAUUAUUGCUGAGGACGUGGAAGCAAACAACAGCUUGUCUAUGGCCUCAUGUACAGAUCAUCAAUUGCAGAAUAUCCAGGUAUGAUUGUGAACAUAAAUGAAUCAUCAAGCUGCACUGGGUAAAUUCACAUAAACAACUUAUCACCUCUAUGAGUUCCUACAAAUUUAAAGAAAGUUGUAUGAGACGUUAAGCUUUUGAAAUAUUGUGGAAAAAGGAAAACUAAAAGUAAAACAACAUGCCCUUGAUUGGCCUUUUGUCUUUUUUCAGGGCUCUUUAUUUUGUUUAAUGCCGAGUUACAAUUGGCAAAAUGAGUUGUUUAGAAAUAACUUGAUUGGGACCAUUGUAAUUUUAUAAUUUUUGUUAUAGUUUUUGCCUGUAAUAAGAGAAUUAGAGACUUUUUAAUGUGAAAUGGCACAUUACAAGAUUAUAGUUGAAGGUUGGCUUGUAUUUGGUAGCAUUGAUUUUAGUAGAAUAAUAGAAUUAGAUGGAACUGAAGGUAAUCUUUAUUAGUAAAACUAGUAUUUGCAGUCUCUAACUCCACUCAGGCAGCAUAGUUUACAGAUAGUACCACUAUGUUUUUAAUUAAAACUUUAGCUUUGUGUUUUUUUGCUUUUUUGUGGAUAAAUUUUAAUUCAUAAGUAGGUUGUAAAAUUGAGUGUUCUCUCUCUAUACAUAUACUUUAAACAUUAAAAAAAAUUUAUAUGAUGAUUAAACAAUAUGAAGACUUUUUAUUUUAUUUUAAGUCUUAAUUUUUAUUAGUUACUUCACUUAUGAAUUAGCUUGACUUAAUAAAAAACCAUUAGGGCCCUUCUUGCUUGUUCAUCUUCUGUUUUGCUUUCAAAGCUUCUUUUGUUUCAAUUUUAGGAUUUUGUUCAAAUUACUAUUAUAAGUGCUUAAUUAUAAACCUUCUAAAUAUCUACUUUUACCUGUCCAUCUUCUACUGCUCAUCACUCGUUUAUGUUUUAAUGGGUUUGUUGCAAAGUUGUUAUUAGUGGCAACAUGUUACAAUAUUGUUGCUUUUACUUCACUUUGAUGAAGAUAUACCUAUUGAGGUUUUAUAUCUACAUCCACAUUUGCAUUAAAGUGGUUAGUGUUGGUGUUCACAAGUUGCUUCGGCUUCAAACAUCACUAUAUAAUCAUGUAGAUCAACACUCGUUGAAAAAUUUUUCUUAUUAGCAUGGUUUUCAAGAUAUUUAGUGUUUGCCUGUAUAAUUUUGGAUAGAAGAGUAACAUUAUUGGAGUUCAUUUCAAGUGCAUAAAGUGUUUUGAAUUGUUAUCACACGAAUAUAUUUAAAUGAAUGAUAAUUAAGAAGUUUACAAUUUAACUUUUGGCGAAUAACUUCUUGUUUGGAAAUUAAAGUUCAAGGGAAUUGAUGAGUACUCGAUGAAAGAGCUCUCGCAACUUCGUGAUCAAUAGGCUACAUAAGUUGCCAAGUUAAUUAAAACCUACAAUCGCGAGGUAAUAUAUGAGUAAUUUAGGACCACUUUUGCUUCCAAAUCUCUAAGACUUAUUUUUUGUGGUGUUCUAAUUGAUUUUAUGUGCUUGUAGGUGGGGGAAAAAAAUGAAGCCACGUAUGGAUAUUCAGGAUAUUCUUGUGCUUAUUAUUGUUGGUUAAUGUUCGUUGAAAUUGAAUUUAGUACUUUGUUGCUUAAAACUUGUCGAAAACUUAAUUUGAUACUUAUGUUCUUUUUUUUUCCAAACAAUGAUGUAGUUGAAUUAUGUUAAUUUAAGUGAUGUAUUUGGGAUAUUUAUUAUGUGAAUUGUGUUGGGAGAUUUGAUAUAUUUAAUAUAUUUAUUUUUUUUAAUUGUAAAACAAACUGGAAAAAUAUAAUUAAAAUAAAAAUAUAUUACUAACCAAAAGCAGCAUAACAUCACUAAAUACUGACUCAAUUUUAAAUAUUGAUAUGUAAAUAGUAUCAUUAAAUGUUUACACUUCGUAUCAUUAUUUUAGUGAUACUAUAGUGACAUGAAUUACUGACACGUAAAUAGUAUCAUUAAGUACUAACGCCAUAGUGUCAUUAUUUUGGUGAUACUAGAGUAACACGAAUUACUGACACGAAAAACGCUGACACCAAAAAUUAGUGUCAGUGUGUUCUAGCUGGAGCAUUACUGACACAAUUAACAAGUGUCAGUAAAAGUUAUUACUGACACUAAAUUGGUGUCAGUAAAGCCCAUUUUUCUAGUAGUGAGCCUUGCAGCUUGAACAACCUUCGGAUAGUCUUGACUCUUGAAUCCAAAUACUCCGCUACACUUGAGUGUAGCCAAUGAACCGUGGUCCUUCCUUAGCUAUAAUAUGAUCCGGUGAUGAAGUAUCACAUAUGCAAUUUUUGUAACGGAUAGACAAGAUGAAUUUAGGUGAAGUGAAAGCAUAAAAAAAAACAUACCACAUAAAUGAAUCCCUUCAUGAUAUGUUUAGAACAGAGUUUUAUACAAGGAGCCGGUAUAGUGUCGAGCUCUCAAAAGUUGUCUUUGGCUACCAUUUGGCAAAAAUUAAAUAAAAUAACAUAUUAAUUUAGAAAUUAUAGAAAAAAUAUUAAUAGUAAAAAAUAAAUAGAAAAUAAAAGAAAGAUAUAAUAUUGUCAAAAUCAAGAAAAAAUUUAUAUAAUAAAUUAAAAAUGUUUGUUUCAUAUAUUAUAUGUGAUGUGUCAUAUUUAACAUCAAAAUUUUCUAGAUGUUUUGUUAUUUUUCUCAACUUUGUUAUUCUAAAUAACCCAAAAAGUUUUUUUUCCCGCCCGUUUUAUGUUUGACGUCCUUAUUGCAUGUUUGACCCCCAUUCUUACAUCUUUCACGUGACCUGCUGCAUGUUGACAUGGUUUUCAUGUUUAACCUCAUAUAUUACAUGUUUGUCCUCACUUGUUACAUGUUUCAUGUGGAUUGUUGCAUGUCUUAAAUAAAGCCAAAAAAUAAAAAUUAUCCCACCAAUUUUAUGUUUCACGUCCGCGUUGCAUGUUUGAUCUCCGUUAUUGCAUCUUUUAUGUGAACUGUUGCAUGUUGACGUGGUUCUCAUGUUUAACUUUAUGUGUUGCAUGUUUGACCUCAACUGUCGCAUGUUUUACGUGACCUUUUUACACGUAAAUUUCAUGUUGUAUGUUUGACCUCACUUCUUGCAUGUUUCACGCGGAUUGUUGCAUGUCAUGAAUAAAGCCAAAAAAUAAAAAAUUUCCCACUCGUUUCACGUUUGUAUACCUCCAUUGUUGCAUCUUUCACGUGAACUAUUGCAUGUUUCUCAUCUUUAACCUCAUCUGUUGCAUGUUUGACCUUUGGUGUUGCAAGUUUUACCUGACUUUUUUACAUGUAAAUUUCAUGUUGCAUGUUUGAUCUCACUUGUUGCAUGUUUCAUGUGGAUUUUCGCAUGUUUGAAUAAAGCCAGAAAUGAAAAUUUUCCCGGCUGUUUCAUGUUUCACGUCUGUGUUACAUGUUUGAUCUUCAUGUUGUAUCUUUCACAUUAACUGUUGCAUGUUGAUGUCGUUCUCAAGUUUAACCCCAUCUGUUGCAUGUUUGACCCCAUAUGUUCCAUGUUUUAUGUGACCCUCUUACAUGUAAAUUUCAUGUUACAUGUUUGACCUCAUUUGUUACAUGUUUCACAUGGGUUGUUGCAUAUCUUGAAUAAAGCCAAAAAAUGAAAAUUGUUCCACUUGUUUCAUGUUUCACGUUCGUGUUGCAUGUUUGACUUCCGUCGUUGCAUCUUUCAAGUGAAUUUUUAAUUUUUGCACGUUGAUGUGGUUCUCAUGUUUAACCUCAUCUGUUGCAUGUUUGACAUCAGAUGUUGCAUAUUUUACAUGACCUUUUUAAAUAUAAAUUUCAUGUUAUAUGUUUGACCUCACUUGUUGCCUGUUUCACUUGAAUUGUUCCAUGUCUUGAAUAAAGAGAAAAAUUGAAAAUGGGUGAGGAAGACAAAGUAAUAGUGCAUAUAAUCACGAAGUUGGCUAGCCAACUUAUUUAACAAUGAAUCUAGUGGUUAACCACUUCCACUCCAGAGACACCCAACAAUGAAACGACUAGCCAAUAGAUUUAACGAAGAAUUAAGCAGUUUAUCGCUUCCACUCCGGAAACACUCAACAAUUAAGUGGUUAGUCGACUAAUUUAACAAGGAAUCAAAUGGUUAACUGCUUGCGUUCAAGAAAAUAGCUAACAAUGAAACAUUUAGCCAAAUUGUUAAGCAAAGAAUUAAGCAGUUAGUUGCUUCCACUCCAAAAACAACUAAGUAUGAAACAGUUACUUAGCUUAUUUCACAACAAAUGAAGCGGUUAACUAGUACAACGAAUGUUUGACGUUGAUAUUUCAUGUAUCACAUUGUCUAACACAUGUAUAAAUAUCAUGUUGCAUUCAAAAUUUCUUGACAUUUCAAGUGAUAAUUUAUAAUCAAAAUUAUUUGUUUCAUAUUCUUUUUUAUUAUUAAUUAAGUUUAAUUAAGCCCCAUCUAUUAAGAAAAAAAAAUGAAAUGUUGCCUUAGUGUUAAAAUUAUUUGAUAAUUUAAGUGAUCAUUACUACUCCAAGUAAUAAUUUAUCAUUUUAGUUAUUAUUUGUUUCAUUAUUUUGUAAUUUGUUUAAUUUUUCACACGAAAAUAACUAUGGUGACAAUUUUAAAUUACCAAUUAAACCUUCUUCUUUUUUUUAGUGCAAUUGGUAAUUUGUAAAUUUUUUAUUUUAAAAAUCAAAUAAUACAUACACACAUUAUUAUUUUGAUAUUUCAUCAGAGCUUGUAAAAUGAAACCCAUAAACAAAGGCAUCCCAAAUUUUGUAAUUACAAAAAAAAAAAAAAAAAACGUAAAGAAGAGAGUUGGCGGGUGCACGCCAUACGCGAAUUAAUUUUCACCAUCAUCUUCCACCAUAUGUCGUGAGCAAUGGAGGCUUUCCCUCCCCACUACCAUUACAAAAAAGGUGUCGAAAAAGGUGUCGACCUGUGUCACACCCCCAUCCAAGAAGUGAGCUAAAAAUUAUGAAACUCCAAAGCACUGUCUAAGCAUAGCACACAGGCUACUUCCAGCAUCUCCAUUAACAAAAUACUUGAAAAAAGCAAGGCAUUCUAUGAAAACAUGCUCAAAGAUUCCAAAAGAAAAUUGACAUUUAAACACAUAAGAAUCAAUCUUAAGAAUCCAUCAAUUUUGCAAUCAAGCGAAAAAAAGUCAAUCUCUGAUCUAUAAGACCAAAAUUCAAAGUCUAUAAUUUCAAUGAUCAAAUAACAAAUGAUGUACAAAUAAAAUUCAUGGAAAUCUAUAGAAACCUUUGGCAUUAUUUUAGACCAUGUAAAAAGCACAGGCCUUGUUCAAUAGUCCCUUUAAAUUAUUGGGUUGGUUCAAUUACUAUACAAAUUUGCAGAUAUAAUCUAGACAUGUAAAGCACCUAGAAUAUAACAUCUUAGCUCAAAUUUAGUUACAGUUAUUACUAUUUCUAUGACCCAAUACAGAGUUACAGAAAACUGGUUUAUUGACAGGAAACGCCAAUAACCUAAGCUUCUGAUUUUCUUUAAAAAUUCAAUACUAUUCAGAAUAUUGUGAAAACUUCCAAAAUAUUAUUAGACACAACAUAUAAAAUUUUCAAGCCAUUUGGACAACUCCAUAAUUGGUUCUCACAGGAUUGAACUAAACAAAUCAAAACUGUCUUUUUAAUUCACACAAAAACAGCUGAGCUUUGGUGAUUUAUUAAAAUUAAAAUACUCAAUAUGUUGGGAUGAAAAUUCCCAGAACAUAAUUACACAUAUAACUUGAUAACGUAUUAAAAGUUCAAGACAUUCUGAUAUCAUUAAGCUAAUGUUUCAUAAGAUCAAACACAAGUGAAUAGUUCUGUCAAGGGGUUUAGGGCUAAAGUAGUGGAGUUUGAAAAAUCAUAAAAAACAAAAGAGAACCAGUUGUUCAAUUACCAAGGAACUUUUAACAUUUAAAAUACAUUUAAAAUAGACUUAUUGAAGUUUAAUAUCUCAAAAUUUUAGCUCAUGUUGACACCAAUAGAUUAUUCGUUUAUAACACCAAACAUGGUACAUACACAGUUUUUGAAAAAUUCCAACAGCAACUGACCAAUUUGACGAAUCCAUUAAAAAUCAACCAUUAGUUCAAUUCAUUACAAAAUGUCCAGAAUCGAAAUAUACAAUUUAGCUUGUAUUACUCAAAAUUUGAAGCUAAUCAAGCAUCAUUUAGUCAUAUUUUCAAACAAUCAAAGUUAUGAUAAUAGUUCAACAAUCUUUAAAUUUUCUGCAGAAUCAAUAAACUAUUUAUAAUCUUUUCAGUUCAAUAAUCAAUUUUCUGGCAAAAUUAGACAUGCAAAACCAACAACAACCUUACUUUUCAGUUUUGAGAUAACAAAACAUCAAUUGCACAAAGUUACCUACCUAAAUCACAAGCUUUAACUUCCUAGCCUCUUAAUAAAGCUUUCUGUCACCUUUGCAAGUAUUAACCUCGGCCUUGACAUUACCAAAAAGCCUACCCAAAAUAAAAUUAAAAAAAAAAAAAGAUUAUCAAUCACACUUCCAUUAAACAAAGUCAUAAGAGCUUAUUUAAAAAUUGAGGUGUCUUUUACCUCUUGACGAAUAGCUCAAGUCCAAACUUCCAAUCUAUAGCACUACAUAAUUGAAACAUACAACCACCGAUCAACAAAUAACCCAAAAAAUUGCUAACAGUUUCAAUUAAAAAUAAAAGCUGGUGAUUAUAUAGCAUCAGUAUAUAGCAUUAAAUCAUCAAGGAACAGUAUACGAUGGUGAGUCUCUAGAAACAUCAAUAAAAGUUUCUGAAAAACAGCAAAAAAACAACUUAAAAGUAAUAUAAUGAAUAUCAACACAUAUAAAAUAAGAUUGGUCAAAAAAUUAAAAAUAAAAGAAAAAGAAGCUGAAUGGAUAAAUCUUUACAAAAUUUGUGGGUACCCAUUUUUAGUAUUCCGAACAAUGAGUGUGGAGCUCAAAACGAGCAAACAACACCGAAAACCAAACAAGAAAAAAUUAGUAUAUCAAGAGAAAAAAAUUAACUUGUUUUGAGGGUUUUCGCUGGUGGCUUCAGGAAGCCCACGCGGCCACGAUUUUGGCCAAAGCUAGGAUGACGGCAGUGAAGGUUGAAGAACUGAUGGUAUAGUCAAUGGUGGGACAGAAAUAAUGGUGGGCGGUUGGAAACGCAGCAACAGACGUGAUACCAACUUUGCCUCUCCCUAGCUCUCGUAUACAAACCAAAUACUAGGGUAGAUGACUCCAAUUGGUUGAUUAGUGUGAGAGAGACAAUGGAUUUGAUUUUAGGUAAUGAGCAAAGAAAUCAGAUGAUAGAAAUUAUGGAUUUCAAAGAGGGAAGAAAUUUAGGGAUUUCCCUUUUAAGAAAGCGAAGAAAUCAGAUCGGCGAGAGUGGGGCCGGGGGGGUUAAAUGGAUGAGAAAAAUUAUGGAUUUCAAAUGAAUGAGAAAUCUGAUGGUAUAAAAUGUUUAUUAAUAUAUACUUGAGAACCAACAUCUCAAGUUCAAUCGAACGGUUUGAUUUCAAUUUUCAAUAUGGUGUCCGGGCUUAGUGCCGGGCAUUGUAGCUUUAACCCUUAUACAACUGUUAAUAUAUAAGAACUUGUAUUGGUGAAUUUACAGACAUAAUAAAUUAGGUGUAAAAUCUAUAAUGUACUUAUCGUAAACGACAACUUUAUGGAGCAAUAAUCCUAGUUUUCUUUUCUAAUUUUAUGAGCAAGUAAAACUCGUUAUAUUUUGCUUCAUUAAAAAAGAAUAGUAAAUGGCUUGCCUAGCUUUGAGCAAAGUAUUUAGAUCAUUUGAUAUGUAAUAGGUGCCAUUUCUCAAUCUACCAGCUUUGAUAUUGACAAAAUGCAGUACACGCAUAAGCUGAUUAUAGUAAACAAUUUGGCAAGAGUUCUCUAUAGAAAAUUAAUGGGGACAAAUGACCUUAGAAAUUGAAUAAGAUGCUGCAAAUUGACCAAGUGACAAAUCCGUUCCCAUCCGAACCAUAGCUAAUUUAGAAUGAAUAUUUGAAAAUAAGAGAAGGCAAGACACAUGUGGGCACAGCAACCGAGGAAAGCAGACCUAGCGUUGGCAUGAAUUAAAAGUUAGAUAAUACUCUUACACACUAUUUUUGAAGGCAUUCAUGGCAAAGAUUAUAAUUCACUACCAGUGAAAGAAAAGAAAAUCAAUUUGAUUGUCUCAUACGUCUAGCUCUUCAACAUUUUAAAGCAACGAGCAUCUAAAUUUUAAGAAACCCAUUACAAUUUCCUUUGCAUUGAUUCUCUGCUUUGGUGAGUCUACAAUACACUCUAUAGCUAAAUUGAAGACAAAUGACACACGUUACUCUUUGGUCAUAAAAUGUUUGUCUUCCCAAGCUAGUAGAUUUGCAUCAACAAUUGUCGUAACUGAAAUGAGUAGCGAAUCAUUAACCCAAUACUUUAAUCUCAUUUUCUUCUGAAAAAAUUUCAUCUGUGACUUUAGUGUAAUAUAUGUUCUUUUCUAAUUUUAAGAAUAUCAUUUUAAAAGGAAUUGUAAAUAGCUUCCCUAGUUUGAGCAAAGUAUUUAGGUCAUCUGACAUAUAAUAAGGUCCAUUUCUCAACCUGCCAGCUUUGGUUUUCAUAAAAUGCGAUAUACACAUAAAGUAAUGGGUAUAAAACUAAAUGCACUGAAAUUUUCAAUCCUUCUAAAUCCUACAAAAUAUUCAUAAUUUUCCACACAUGAAGCAAAAGAACAAUAAUUAAAUCACACUGACCUGAUUAUACCAAAUGAAAGUCCAAAUUUUCCCUAUAGAAAAAAUAUAAAUAUAAUUAAACCUAAACAAAUGGCAAAAAUCUCCAUGGAAACUUGAAGGGACUCAAAUUGCACAAUAACAAAUCACCUUAGAAAUUGAAUAAAAUGCAGCAAACUAACCAAGUGUCAAAUCCGCUCCCUUCCGAAUCAUAGCUAAUUGAGAAUGAAUAUUUGAAAGUGAGAGAAGGCAGGAUCACAUGCGGGCACAGCAACCAAGGAAAGCAGACCUAGCAUUGGCACGAAUUAAAAGUUAGACAAUACCCAUACACAAUUAUUGGAGGUAUUCAUUGCAAAGAUUACAAAUCAUUACCGGUGAAAGAAAAGAAAAUCAAUUUGAGUGUCACAUGCGUCUACCGCUUAACAUUUUUAAGCAAUGAGUCUCUAAUUUUUAAGAGUCUUGUUACAAUUUCUUUUGCAUUGAUUCUCUGCUCUGGUGAUUCUACAGUACACUUCAUAGCCAAAUUGAAGAUAAAUGACACGCAUUGCCCUUUGGUCGUAAAAUGUUCGUCCUUCUGACUUAACAGAUUUGCAUCAACAAUUUCCAUAACUGAAAUGGGUAGUAAGUCAUUAACCCAAUGCUUUAAUGUCAUAUCUCCAAAAAAGAUUUCAUCUGUGGGUUUCUUUCGGGUAAAUGUUUCCAUUAACAUAAUCCCAAAACUAUAAACAUCCCCAUUUGUGGAUACUUGUCCUUCUCUUCCAUACUCUAUGGAUUGCAACAAUUACACAGUAAGAUAAUAUAAUUUAUAAUAUUAUGCGUAAAUGAAGAUCAAAACAAAUAAAUAACAUAUCAGAAAUUAUUAAAGAAAUAAAAAAAUAUUUAUUAUGUAACAAACCUGGUGCCAUAUAGCCUAUGGUGGCAAGUGUUUGUGUUUGAGUCAAAGAUUGAUCUUCUUUGAGUAAGGGCUUUGCCAUGCCAAAAUCACUCAAAUGAGCAACCAUAUUAUCAUCUAACAAUACAUUGCUGGGCUUUAAGUCACAGUGAAUUAUUGGCACUGAAUAACCAAAGUGCAGAUAUUCCAAAGCUGAUGCAACAUCUAUCAUUAUGUUCAAUCUUUGAAAAAUAUCCAAAAUGUAGUUGCUCGAAUACAAACACUUCUCCAGACUUCCAUGAGGCAUGUAUUCUAAUACCAAUGCUUUAAAAUCAUCACUUGAACAACUGCUAAUGAUUUUUAUAAUGUUUCGAUGGCGAAUACGUUUUAUCAUGUCACAUUCAAUAUCAAAACUCUUAAAUGCUCUUCCAUAUUGUAGGUCAAAAACCUUUACUGCAACCUCCAUCCCAUCCUGAAUUCUUGCCUUGUAAACAGAGCCAAAACCUCCUCUGCCGAUUAGAUUGUUUUCACUAAAUCCGUUUGUAGCUUGAAAAAUUUCUAGGUAUGUAAACCUUCUCUGAUUUGAUAUUCGUGGCAUAUUAGCAUCAUUUGGCAGUGGUUUCCCUCUCUUUCGAUAUCUUAAUAUAAACAAAAUCACUGCCAUCAUAAAUAUAGUACUCAAUGGCAAGACAAUCCCUAUGAGAAGAUCAUUUUUCCUUGAUGUGUGAUGGAUUCUAGUUCUGCACGGUGGGACUUGUAGAUUGGGCAUACCACACAAUAAUUCAUUUCCCUCGAAUGAUUCAGUUGAGAAAUUUCUAAAAGGUCCCUUAUUAGGAAUCUCCCCUUCCAACUUAUUGAAAGAAACAUUUAUAUCUUUGAGAUCUAACAAUUUCUCUAAAGAUAUAGGAAUAGUUCCAGAGAGAUUAUUAUUGGAUAAAUUUAAGGAUUUCAAGUUUAUCAAAUCACCAAUUGAAUCGGGAAUUGAGCCUUGUAAUCUAUUAUAUUCUAAAAAGAGAUAUUGUAGAUCUUUUAGGCCUCCAAUUGUUGUUGGGAUAACAUCUGAAAAAUUAUUCAUCGACAAAUCUACUUGUACCAAAACCUUCAAAUUUCCAAUCUCUGAUGGGAGUGGACCAGUAAAAAAAUUUGAAGACAAGUCAAGGUACAAAAUGUCCUUAAGGUUCCAUAAAGUUGAAGGAAUAGAAGUUAGCUUAUUGGAGCCCAAAUAGAGAUUCCUUAGAUUAGUGAGAUUGCCAAAGCAUGCUGGUACGAAUCCAUCAAGCUUAUUGCCCCCAGAGUCCAACUCAAACAGUGCAGCUAAACGACAAAGAUCAUCUGGGAUUGAUCCUUCCAAUUGAUUAUCUUCCAAACUCAAUAAUUGAAGCUUUUGUAAUUUGCCAACAGCAAUCGGAAUUGAUCCAUUCAAGUUGUUUCCUCCUAAAUAAAUUGCUAUCAAGUUGGUCAAGUUGCCGAUCUCUUCAGGGAUGCCGCCACUAAUGUUGCAAUUGUGCAUCCGAAAGUCUUCCAUAGAUUGAGAAAGAUUGCCUAUAGCCCUUGGAAGAAUGCCACCUAGUGGAUUAUUAUAGAAGCCAAAAUACUCCAAAUACUUGCAAUUUGACAACGAGGAUAGAAACCUCAAUUUUGGAGUUGAAGAUGUCAAAUAAUUGUCAUUUAAACCAAGCCACUUAAGGUUUCUUAAAUUGCCAAAUGUGUUUGGAAUAAAACCGGAGAAUGAGUUCUCUUCCAAUGCUAGUUUGGAGAGCUUAGAAGCAUUGAAGAUGAAACUAGGAAUUGUGCCACUAAAAUUAUUACCCCACAAGUGAAGUUCUUCAAGAUUUGGAAGUCGGACGUCUCCGCUUGAUGCAAGUCUUCCCGAGAGUGAGUUACUCUGAAGAUGAAGUGAUUUGAGUGUUGACACAUUGAAGAUUGUAGUUGGGACAACACCAACUAAUUUGUUAAAACUAAACGCCAUCCAUUCUAGAUUAUGGAGAUUACCGAUUUCAUGUGGUAUCUCACCUGUAUUUUGAAACAAAAAAUAAUUCAAAUUUAUUUUUAAUAAUAAAUUACACACUUUUAAAUCAUGAAAUGAGUAUUCGUAAUUAAAAUUAUUAAAUAUGAGUUUAAGAUGAAUUAUUAUACAUAGAUAAAAUGUUAAUAAAAUUUUAAAUUUUUAUUCUUUUUAAUUAAAUAUAAAUAUUAAUAAUUCCAGUAUUCAUGUCAUUAUUAAAUUAAAAAAAUAAAGAAACCACUCAUUUUAAUAUUAAUUUGAAUUAGUAAUAUAAUAUUUGUAUGAACAUAAGAAUUUUUUUCAAAACUAAACUUUUACAUUAUUUUUCUAGGUCCUACUACAGUGAAUAUAUGAAUUGAUAUCAUGGUGGAAGAAUAUUGAUUUCAUGUUUUAAAAAACAAUUAAUCUAUUUUAGACUUUCCUUUACAAAAUAAAAACACUUUUUUUUAUGCCUAAAUAAACGUCUGAACUUAACCGCCAUUAUCAGAAACUGUUGCUUGUUUUUUACUUCUUCUUCCCUACUACUUAUUGUAUCACUAACUUUUGAACUUUUGGUAUAAACAUAAGCAAAGAAGAAACAUUGCCAAUUAAUUCUUAAUUCUUUUACAAACUUACGUCAUGGAAUUAGAUUAAAAUUGGAUGCGCUACUGUCAUGGUAUUCUGCAAUAGCAACUGACAGAUGAAGUAGACAACAUCAAUUGAACACCAUUUCUAUUUGCAAUCUCUAAAAUUAAUUUAACUUUUCACACUUAUAGAUAUUGUUCAAUCUUUCUAAUUCUCCAUUUGAUUUUGGACCCUAGAAAGACAAUUAAAAAAAUGAACAAAAAAAGAAAGUAAAGAAAAACAUAUAAUCUGCUUGAUAGAUUAUCAAAAUUUGUCGAGUGAUCACAAAAUAAAAGAAAAUGCAAUAGAAAAGAGAAAGAGAAAAACUAACACAGUGAAAGAAAUAGAAGGUUUAUGCUUGUUAGACAUUCGUUAAUCUUAGAGCCAUUAAGUCUUAGAUUUUUAAUUAGGCAAUGAAACGAUGUAUUUUAAUUUUAAUAAGGAAAGUCUAAAAUAAUUUAAAUCAUAGACUCACUAAAAUGCUUAAACAAAAUUGAUUUUCGAGCAAAUAAACACCUGCUAUUCUAGGAACAAGCGCACAGUGGUCCAGGUAAAAUACUCGAAGUGAUAACUAAAAACAUGACAUAAAUAUAAAUCACACGUACCUUGGAGUCUGUUUUGGUAAAGAGAUAAAUACUUAAGCUUGGUCAAAUUGCCGAUUUCUUUUGGUAUGUCUCCCGACAAGCCAUUGACCGACAAAUAUAAUGUUUGUAGAAGUUUGCACCUUGAUAAAGUCGAUGGGAUUUUGCCGUCAAAGCUGUUUACGCUUAGAAAGAGGAUUUCCAGAAAAGGAAGGUUGUUGCAAAUAUUUGCCGGGAGUUCACCUGGGAGUUCACCAAAUAAUAUCUUUAUAUUCAAAAUGAAUAUUUUCUAGUAAAGAAGACUUAAAUAACAUAAAGGAAGGGAUUGGACCAGAGAGCUGGUUAUAGCUAAGAUAAAGUUUUUGAAGUGAAGAUGGAUUCCCAAGUUGAGAAGGAACGAUGCCUGUUAAGAAAUCAUUUGUUAGCGAUGGCAUCACCAAUUAUAUAAAGAUAAACAGUGAUUUCAUGUCAAAUAUUUUAUGUUGAUGUCACAAAUGCAUAUUAUUAGCCAAAACUACCUGUCAAGUUAUUAACUGACAAAUCCAAAUUCGAUAGAGAAGAAAGAUUGAAGAUUGAUGAAGGAAUGGUUCCAGUUAAGAAAUUAUUUUGUAGCCAUAACUCCUCUAAUUCUGCAAGAUUCCCGAGCUCUUCUGGAAUUUCUCCUAAAAUCCAUCAGUAACAUAUGCUUUAACUAUUUUAACUUAUUAAAAACAAAAACAAAAAAAAAGUAAAGAAAAACAUCUAAUCUGCUUGAUAGAUUAUCAAAAUUUGUUGAGUGAUCACAAAAUAGAAGAAAAUGCAAUAGAAAAGAGAAAGAGAAAAACUAACAAAGUGAAAGAAAUAGAAGGUUUAUGCUUGUUAGACGUUUGUUAAUCUUAGAGCCGUUAGUCUUAGAAUUUUAAUUAGGCAAUGAAACGAUGUGUUUUAAUUUGAAUAAGGAAAGCGUAAAAUAAUUUAAAUCAUAGACUAAGAAAGGCAUAAACAACAUGUGUCAUGAUCUUAUACAAAAUUUAAGAAAGAUUAGAAUAUGAGAGGAUCCAAAUCCCCUUAUCUAUUAUAAUUCUCUGCUGAUUCAAAGUUACCGUCAACAUUUAUUAUAAGGGUUCCAAUUAAAAUGCUUAAACAAAAUUGAUUUUCAAGCAAAUAAACACCUGUUAUUCUAGGAACGAGCGCACAGUGGUCCAGGUAAAAUACUCGGAGUGAUAACUAAAAAAAUGAGAUAAAUAGAAAUCAUACAUACCUUGGAGUUUGUUUUGGUCAAGAUAUAAAUACUUAAGCUUGGUCAAAUUGCCGAUUUCUUUUGGUACGCCUCCCGAGAAGUCAUUGAUCGACAAAGAUAAUGUUUGUAGAUGUUUGCACCUUGGUAAAGUCGAUGGGAUUUUGCCGUCAAAGUUGUUUUCGUCUAGAAACAGGAUUUGCAAAAGAGGAAGGUUGCUGCAAAUAUUUGCAAGGAGUUCACCUGGGAGUUCACCAAAUAAUAUCUUUAUAUUCAAAAUGAAUAUUUUCUAGUAAAGAAGACUUAAAUAACAUAAAGGAAGGGAUUGGACCAGAGAGCUGGUUAUAGCUAAGAUAAAGUUUUUGAAGUGAAGAUGGAUUCCCAACUUGAGAAGGAAUGAUGCAUGCUAAGAAAUCAUUUGUUAGCGAUGACAUCUCCAAUUAUAUAAAGAUAAGCAGUGAUUUCAUGUCAAAUAUUUUAUGUUGAUGUCACAAAUGCAUAUUAUUAGCAAAUACUACCUGUCAAGUUAUUAACUGACAACUUCAAACUCGAUAGAGAAGAAAGAUUGAAGAUUGAUGAAGGAACCGCUCCAGUUAAGAAAUUAUUUUGUAGCCAUAACAUCUCUAAUUCAGCAAGAUUCCCGAGCUCCUCUGGAAUUUCUCCUAAAAUCCAUCAGUAACAUAUGCUUUAACUAUUUUAACUUAUUAAAAACAAAAAAAAGAAAGUAAAGAAAAACAUCUAAUCUGCUUGAUAGAUUAUCAAAAUUUGUUGAGUGAUCACAAAAUAGAAGAAAAUGCAAUAGAAAAGAGAAAGAGAAAAACUAACAAAGUGAAAGAAAUAGAAGGUUUAUGCUUGUUAGACGUUUGUUAAUCUUAGAGCCGUUAGUCUUAGAAUUUUAAUUAGGCAAUGAAACGAUGUGUUUUAAUUUGAAUAAGGAAAGCGUAAAAUAAUUUAAAUCAUAGACUAAGAAAGGCAUAAACAACACGUGUCAUGAUCUUAUACAAAAUUUAAGAAAGAUUAGAAUAUGAGAGGAUCCAAAUCCCCUUAUCUAUUAUAAUUCUCUGCUGAUUCAAAGUUACCGUCAACAUUUAUUAUAAGGGUUCCAAUUAAAAUGCUUAAACAAAAUUGAUUUUCAAGCAAAUAAACACCUGUUAUUCUAGGAACGAGCGCACAGUGGUCCAGGUAAAAUACUCGGAGUGAUAACUAAAAAAAUGAGAUAAAUAGAAAUCAUACAUACCUUGGAGUUUGUUUUGGUCAAGAUAUAAAUACUUAAGCUUGGUCAAAUUGCCGAUUUCUUUUGGUACGUCUCCCGAGAAGUCAUUGAUCGACAAAGAUAAUGUUUGUAGAUGUUUGCACCUUGGUAAAGUCGAUGGGAUUUUGCCGUCAAAGUUGUUUUCGUCUAGAAACAGGAUUUGCAAAAGAGGAAGGUUGCUGCAAAUAUUUGCAAGGAGUUCACCUGGGAGUUCACCAAAUAAUAUCUUUAUAUUCAAAGUGAAUAUUUUCUAGUAAAGAAGACUUAAAUAACAUAAAGGAAGGGAUUGGACCAGAGAGCUGGUUAUAGCUAAGAUAAAGUUUUUGAAGUGAAGAUGGAUUCCCAAGUUGAGAAGGAACGAUGCCUGUUAAGAAAUCAUUUGUUAGCGAUGGCAUCACCAAUUAUAUAAAGAUAAACAGUGAUUUCAUGUCAAAUAUUUUAUGUUGAUGUCACAAAUGCAUAUUAUUAGCCAAAACUACCUGUCAAGUUAUUAACUGACAAAUCCAAAUUCGAUAGAGAAGAAAGAUUGAAGAUUGAUGAAGGAAUGGUUCCAGUUAAGAAAUUAUUUUGUAGCCAUAACUCCUCUAAUUCUGCAAGAUUCCCGAGCUCUUCUGGAAUUUCUCCUAAAAUCCAUGGGUAACAUAUGCGUUAACUAUUUUAACUGAUUAUUAACCGACACUCAAGAAGAAAAAAAUGAAAUAAAAAAAGCUUUUGCCUGAAGAGAGAUAAAAAAAAAAUUACUCAAUAGAAUUAAAUAAUUAUAGGCUGACAGGAUUAAUAAAUGUGAGACAUUAUUAAUUUUCAUCAAUUAAUUAAACUCAUUGAUCAUACCUUGGAGUUUGUUCCCUCCAAGAUAUAACCCGAUAAGCGUUGUCACGUUGCCAACUUCUUUUGGUAUGGUCCCCGAAAAAUCAUUGAGCGAUAAAGAUAUCUUUCGCAGCCGUUUGCAGCUUGAUAAAGUGGAUGGUAUCUUGCCAUGAAACAUGUUACUUUUAAGAAAUAGGGAUUCCAAAUUGGAAAGGUGAUCGCAAAAUUUUGGUGGGAGUUCGCCAAAUAGUGUAUUGUUUCUAAAAUCAAUAGAAAGUAAAGAAGACAUGUUGAAGAUAGAGGCCGGAAUGGAACCAGAAAACCAAUUAAAACUGAGAUCAAGUGAUUGAAGAGACGAAAGAUUCCCGAGUUCAGAAGGGAUAGUGCCCGUGAGAUUUAACCCAGAUAUAUUCAAGGCUGUGACUCUAUGAGUACGGACAUCACAAGUGAGGCCCGUCCAACUACAGACAGAGCUACUUGUGUUCCAAUUUCUAGCCAAAAAAUUGGUUGGAUCAUCAGUUACAUGACCUUUCAGGGCAAGAAGGGCUUGUUGGUCUAUGGUAAUACUUGUAGUGUUGGCUGAUGCAAUCAUGAAGGAAAGAAUCAAGCAAUGGAGUAAGAGAAAUCUGAGCAUCAUCCGGGCAGAAGGAAUUCUUUCCAUGAGACUAGAAUAUUUAGAUUGUAAGUGUGUGCUUAAUUGGAUUGAUAAUGCAAGAACACUCAUAGCUGCUUCCAAGCAUAUAUAAUGAAACCGAAAUUUCGAAGAAGCAGCAAGAAAGAAAAUAGAGGAGUGAAAAGGCUAUGCUCAUAACUUGCUGAAAGGUGCAAAAUUGUAUGUGGACCCGCUGAGUCAAGGCAGUCCUUCAGGUCCACACUCAAGAUGAUUGCAGUAAGUUUUGUUUUCCUUUAUAAUCAUCCUAUUAACUUAUCGCAAAAUAGUUCUACUCAUUAAAAAAAAAUUAAAUUAUUCUCCAUAUAUAGUAACAAGACAUAUAAUGCUCCUAGAAAAAAAAAAUUAUAUUUCUAUAUGCUUUUUCUGAAUUUGAGAUAAUUUACUAGUUCUGAAAAAAAUUGUACGAACCGGUGGUGUCGUUGGGUAAAAAAGUUCUUCACGGGUCAAUGAGGAUGUCAUAAGUUGACGCAAAUUGCCGAAGUCAAUGAAAGAAGAGACAAUGAAACCGAUUAUUAUUUUUAUAUAAGUAUUCAUAUUCAUUGAAGGAAUUUAACAGUUCUCAAUGGGACAAUAGAUGUUUGAGUGUUUUUGCUAUUGGUAUGAUCAUUCAAGGAUUUACAAGUGCCAAUAAAAAUAUAGGGAAAACCUAUGGUGCAACUGUGGUACCGUGCCACAGUUGCUUCCAGCCGUUGGAUGUCAGUGGACCCCACUUAUUCAAGUGCAUCCAACGGCUGGAUGCAACUGUGGCACGGUACCAUAGUUGCACCGUAGCCGGACCCAAAAAUAUAACCAAAAAGGAAAAAUAUGUGGCUUCAAUUGUAUUUGUGAGGGACACUCAUUUCUGAUCUUUAACUUGAAUUGGUUUUUUUUUUCCUCCAAAUUAUGAAUAUCUCAUGUGGAAAUUGGAAAUUUUUAUCACCUAUGAUUGGCUAAUAUGGAAAUUCUCUUUGAGCAAUAUAUAAUUCUCUUUUAAGAAGAAGAAGUUAGUGGCCUGUUAAUUAUGUGUGCUUUAUGGGUUACAAUUAGUACUAUUUUCAUUUCACUUUUAUUAGGGAUGAUGACAGAACUAAAUUUUUAAAAUUUUCUCCGGAAAAAAUAAAUGUUUACAAAGGCGUCAUGUGCAUGCAAUCCUACAGAAUUUCGUAACUAAUAAUAAACUUGCAAGAGAUUGAGAUUGAACGAUGAUGAAGUACAGAGCAAAUGCAAGAGCAAAAGAAAGAAAACUCGUUUUCAAAAAAAAAAAACACAACAUAAUGUUUAUAUUACUUUUAUUUGCGAAAAUUUUCAAAACAUAAUAGUUAAUUCAUACAUACUGAUUAAUUUGUCAGAUGUGUAAUAUAAUUUUCGGCGAACGCGUUGCAUUAAGUCACUCCUUCAGGUCCACUCCGAAUCACUGGAUAUUUUACUCUCUUCUUAUUAUGUGGAUCCAAUCAAAACUUUCAACUUUUGGGAUUCAGCCAUCGGAUUUAAUAAAAACGUUGUUCAAUGGCAAGAGCUUUGUUUAUAUGGUUUAGUUCUUAUAUUUUAAUUUAGGAGUUUAUUUAAUUUUUAUAUAUUGAAAAAUACUUCAAAAUACUUCUCUUAUUAAAUAUAUUAGGUUCCAGCCUUUAAUAUUUUCGUUUUAAUGGUAAUACCUUACAAUAACAAUCUUGGAGAUAUUAAUGAAAAAAUUUAAUUCAUCAAAUUAGCCUAAAAAAAAUAAAAAUUAAAGAAAUUUUUAUGUUAUUAUUUUACUUUUAUGAUUAAUUUGGUAAAUUAAAUUUUUGUAUACAAUUAUUAGUAAGAUUAUUGUAAUGAUAUUAAAUAUUACUUUCAGUUAGUUGAUAUUAAUUUAUUUAAAAAUAGUUGUUUGUCAGAUUCUAGUUAAAGUACAAAAAAUACUAUUUCUUUCAUAAUGAUAUUUAUUGAUUAAUUUGGUAAUUAAUAAUUAGUUAACUUGCUAUUAAAUUUUUUUAGAUAAAUUAAUUAAUAUUAAGAAUAUUGUUGAUAGGGUAGCAUUAUAAAGGUAAAGAUAAGAAUAUAAUAUAUUUAAUACUAAUAGUAUUUUGAAGUACUUUUUAAAAUAUAAGAAUUAAAUGAGUAUUUAAAUCAAAAUACAAAAACUAAACAAGCAUUUACUUGAUAAAAAAUCACAAAAGUUGAAUGUUUCAAAAUUUUGACACCCAAGACUUAUCUAUUAAAAGAGGUCAUGAGAAUUAAAACUUAGAUGAAACAGUGCCGUAACGUUAUCACAAAGACGUGCUGAGAUUUUCCUAUUUUCAAAUUUAAAUUUGACACCCAUAAGAGAUAGCGAUGGUGAGAGUGUGACUGCUCACUUGGAAUUUAAAUUUAAUUACACGGUCGCAUUCUCUCUCUGAUAUUUUUCGUAUUCUCUUUCAAGAAGAAUAAAUUAGCGGGCCAUUGAAUAGUAUUUAUGCGUGCUUUAUGGGUUAUAACAUUUUUGUCGAUCCUUAGCUCGACUCAAAAGUCAUGAAUUGCAAAGCCAAUGUAACAGAAGACAAUCGGGUAAUGACUAAUUAAGUAUUUAUGAUGGAGUGACACUCGCAAGUGCUUCUAAGUAUUUAUGAUGAAACCUAAAUUUCUCUCCACGUGAAAGAGAAAAAUCAGAAAAUAGAGGAGAGAAAUUAAAGCGAGAAAAGAUUCCUCUCCACGUGACAACAAACGUUGAAAUGUUUUUGCUAUUCGUUUGAUGCUUCGAGGAUUCACAGGUGCCGAUAAGUCCAACAAAAUUCCGCGGCUUGAAUUGUAUUUGUUAGGGGCACUCGUUUCUGAUCUUUUAACUUGAAUUAGUUUUUGUCGAUCUCGCUGCAAAAAUUAUCUUCCAAGAUGAAGAAAUCAGUGGCCCAUCGGUUAUAACAUUUUUGUCAAUAGUCAACCCAACUCAGAAAUUACGUGUUGCGAAGUCAAUGAAAGAGAAGACAAAAGUCAAUGAAAGCGAAGACAGCAAGACAUAUGGUGGGACACUUAAGUAUCAUUUGGGAUUAAAGUAGAAAUUUAAUAAAUUUCUUAUUUCAUAAUUCUUUAUAAAAAUAAUAUUUAAUAAAUUUUAUAAAAAUUAUUUAUUUUAUAAUUUUUUAUUUUACUGCAGUUUUUAAAAACAAGUUGAGAUUUACUCUUCAUAAGUAGCUUAAAAUAAGCCACCACAAUUUCUCAAAGUUUCUAUUAUAAUAUUAAUAAUUUAACAAAAAAAUAAUUAUUUCUUAUUUUUUUCAUACACUGUAAUACAUAAGCUAUUAGUAUCGUAUUACCACCACAAUUUACUGUCACAACUAGUUUGAGUUCUCUCAGUAUCAAAAUUUUGAUUUAGCAAGUUCAUAUUUUUUUUAUAUUUUAAUAUUAUUUUCUAUUAUAAAAUUAAUGAGACUUAUACAUGAUUACACAAAUUUUUUUAAACAAUGAACAAGUUCAUGUGAAAUUUAAACAUAAGUCUUAAAAUCAAAUUCGUGACUAUAAUUUUUAUCGUUCAAUCUAUUUAUAUUUUUUCUAUAGUCACGGUAUUCAUUGCAACAAGUUGAUUAUCUGCUUUUAAGAGUCUUGUUACAAUUUCCUUUGCAUUGAUUCUCUGCUUUGGUGAUUCCACAGUAAUGCUCUAUAGCGAAAUUGAAGACAAAUGACAUGAACUUAGCAGUUUUGCACCAACAACUUCCAUAAUUGAAUUGGGUAGCAUAUCAUUAACCCAACGCUUUAAUGUCAUUUUUCCAUGAAAAUUUUCAUCUGUGGGUUUCUUCCCAUUGAAUGUUUCCAUUAUCAUUAUCCCAAAGCUGUAAACAUCCCCAUUUGUGGUUGCCUAUCCUUCUCUUCCAUACUCUAUGGAUUUCAACAAUUACAUGGUAAGAUAAAAUAAUUAACAAUAGCAUGCUCAAAUGAAGAUCGUAAAAAUAAAUAACAUAUCAUAAAGUAUUAAAGAAAUAAAAAAAUUAAUGUAGAACAAACUCGGUGGUGGCAAGUGUUUGUGUUUGAGUCAAUGAUUAAUCUUCUCUGAGUAAGAGUUUUGCCAUGCCAAAAUCACUCAAAUGAGCAACCGUAUUAUUGUCUAGCAAAACAUUACUCGACUUUAAAUCACAAUGAAUUAUAGGUGUUGAAUGACCAAAGUGUAGAUAUACCACAGCUGAUGCAACAUCUGUCAUUAUGUUUAAUCUUUGAAAAAUAUCCAAAAUGUAGUUGCUUGUAUACAAACACUUACCCAGAUUUCCAUGAGGCAUGUAUUCUAAUACCAAUGCCUUAAAAUCAUCAUUUGAACAACUACUAAUGAUUUUGAUAAGGUUUUGAUGGUGAAUACUUUUCAUCAUAUUGCAUUCAACAUUAAGGUUCUUAAAUGCUCCUCCAUAUUGCAAGUUAAAAACCUUUACUACAACCUCCAUCCCAUCUUGAAUUCGUGUCUUGUAAAUAGAGCCAAAACCUCCUUUGCCGAUUAGAUUGUUUUAAUUAAAUCCGUUGUAGCUAGAAAAAGUUCUAGGUACGAAAACUUUCUCCAAGUUGCUACUAGUGGCAUAUUAGUAUCAUUUGGACUUUGGUAUUCGUUUUCCUCUCUUUCCAUAUCUCUAGAUCAACACAAUGAGUACUAUCAUAAAUACAGUACUCAAUGGCAAGACAAUCCCUAGGAGAGGAUCAUUUUCCCUUGAUGUGUGGUGGAUUCUAGUCUUUUAAAUUUUUGAAAAAGCAUAAAAUACAGGUGGCUAGUGAAUAUUGCCCUUUUAUUUAUCAAGCUCAUGUGUCAUGUCUUGUCUUUUGAAUUUAAUGCCUUCUUUUAUUUGUUUUAUUACCCAAUUCGUUCAAAAUAAUCACAAUUAUGCCACUUUUUAAUUUAUAGAAUUUAGAAUAUUACCUUUAAGUUAGUAGAAUUAUCCAAAUUUUUAUUGGGAUUGGGAAUCUCGUCCUGAAUCAUAUAGAGUUCAAUUCAAUAUAAAUUUUUUUAAAAUUAAUUUAAAAUUAGUUGAGAUUUAAUAUAAAAUUUUUCCUAAUUUAUUAUUUAGAAUAUCUGAAAAUCUCAAUCAAAAUAUUGAUUGCCUUGACUAUUGUUUUAAUUUUUAAUUAACUAAAUUUAAAAAAAUCAUUUAUCUUAAAAUAAACAAAAAUGAUUGACCCAAGCACGAAUCCAACAAAUUCACUACUUUGCAUUCACUUUUAGAGUUUAUUUAUUUAUUAUUUAUUUUUUUAGCGACAUUCAGUUUUAAAGUUUAGUUAAACUAAACAGAUGAAGAAGAAAAUAAAUUAGGUUGUUGAUUUACAUAUUAAAUUUAGAUAAUGAAUGGAUAAAAUGGGGACGUUGGUCUUUAGAAUCGCAACUUGCAAUAUAAAGCAAGAAAAAUGUGAGAGUCACAAGUUUUACCAUUUCUCUCUUAUAUACAUAUCUAUUAGGAUGAGUUGAGCAGCCAUAUAACUCUUUAGUUCCAAUAAAAGAUAACAAAUUAACUUUUCAAACAAUAUAUAUAUAAUUACGAUGAUUUUUCAUUUGUUCGUUGGCUUUUGCACCUUGGUGCCGAAGCAACGAAGGACGUGGGGCAAUUGCUGGAUACGAAAAUCACCCGCAUGAUUAACUAUGAGAAGGCCCAAUGACCAAGCCCAACAGAAAAAGGACCAAAUGGAAGCCCAAUAUUCUUUCUACUCUUGACACACCAGACACAGCAAAUGGAAUCUUCCUCAAGCAAGACUUAUUAAAAUCACAUUUAUUAAUUUUAUUUCUUUUACUUUCAAAAAAAAAUUGAUAACAAAAUAGCUAGGUUGAGAAAUGUGGUCAAGAAGUGUGUGCAAAUUUUAAAAAAAAAUUAUUAUUAUUUUCAUAAAUUUAUUGAUUGUAUUUUCUAAUUAAAAAAGGAUACUUUUUUGUCUGUAUAAUAUAUAUGAGGUUAUAUGUGGAACUGCAUGAAAGAUCAAACUUUUCAAUAUUAAAUUUUACUAAAAAUAUAGUGUAGGAUUAGGUGAUUUUCACCUAAGAAAAUUUUAAAAAAAAAUCACCAAAUACCAUAAUUAGUUUUAAACUUUUCAAAAUUAUUUUUGAGCGUCCCAUUUGCUUCUUGAAAUAACUUCUUAUUUGUUGACAUGAAGGGAUAAUGUGAAAGUGCCUCUAUUGUAAAUUAAAUUAUUAUUAUUAUUAUAGUUGUUAUAGAACUUUAUUUCUUGUUAUACUCAAGAUACACUCAUAAAUCACAGCUUAUAAUGAUUUGGGUGGGGUACAAAAACAAAAACCUUUAGGACAGAUUUGUAUAUUUUCAUUUUUACAACAAAAUCCAUUUUUAGAUGGACAGUCCCUCACACAAUCAGAAUCUUGGGUGCAACGAAUUGGUAACCCUCCAGUGUAGGCUUCAGCACUUGGCAACUCAAAGAUUGUGGUGCCUGCCAAUUGACAUCAAUAAUUCAUGAUUAUAUAGAAAUGAAAUAAAAAGCGAAAUGUGUUAGCAAUUAUCAAAACAAUAUACAGAGAGAGAGAGAUAUUUGGGACAUUGACUAACCAUGUGCAACGAUCAUGAGUACGACCAAGAAAGUUAGUUUAAACGAGACUUUCUCCAUUUGCUGUAAGAAAAAGAUUAUGCAGGAUGUUUCUUUGAGUGGGAAAAAAAAAUCUAAAAAAAUUGUAUGCAAGAACUUUGUUCUUCACCUCAUAUUUAUAGAGAUGUAAUAUACAAAUGGUAAAAUGGCACACCCAACUUCUACGUUAUUUUAUAGAAAAAUCGCAAUAAAUCAAAUAAACUUGCAACAAAUUAAUAUUCAAAUCAUUAAACCUAGCCUAAUAGGAAACAAUAAAAAAAGGAAAAAAAUUUUUUUUUUCAUUUUUUUCCAGCUUCGCAUUAACAACGCAGACACAUUUUCCGUUGUUAGUAAAAUCUCCAUCCAUCUUAGUUCAUAAAAUUAAUUGCAUCAUUACAAUGUCAAUCAGCAUCUAGACAGUAAAUGUAAGUUGAUGAUCCCACUAUUAAUUCCAUUUCACGUUGAUUAGGGUAAAAAAUAAAAAUAAAAAAUUUCUUAUAUUCAUGUAAUUUCUAUAAUCUCUUAAAAAUACCAUAUGAAGUAGGUCUAUUUUGCUAUUAACUAAAUAUCCCAGAUUUUGUAUUAUUGAAUCCAUUUAUUGCCUUAAGGCUGUAUAUAUGUAUAUUUUUUAACUUUGCUUUGAACUCAUCUCGUGCCAUUGAGAUUUUGACUUUCUUCUGUUUAUUGCUACCAUUUUGAAAUUAAACAAUUGAUCAACUUAUUAAUAAUCGAUCAACUUAAUUUUAUUUAAUUGAUCAACCUAGUUUUCUUUCAUUAACGUUUUAUAGCAUGAUUCAUUCGUGAUAUAUAUUUACAACAUUUUUUUUAUGUGUCCUUUGCUUCAAUUCACUCAUAAUAAAUCUUAAAAUCAUUAUCAACCAUCGUGAUUUAACUAUAAUAGUCUGAAAACAAUUUGAAAAAAAAUAUAACUCUAUGGAUAAUUCAAUUUUAAGGGUAUUAUCAGACAAAUCAUUGCACUAACAAUUUUGAUUGUUUGCUUGCAAAAGUAAAAUAUGCAUUUGUAUAACUGGUUUUGCAAUAAGAAAAAAUGUUAAAAGGUACCCCAAUUUUUUCUUUCAAGUUUCAAGUUAAUUAUAUGGUUGCUAAGUGAAUUAAGAAAGUAACCUCAUUGGCCUCUCUUAUAAUAUGGAUGUCUUUUGAAUUAUCUUAAUUUAGAAUUUAUUGACAUACACUAAUUGAUAAUUAACUUUUUUGUUCUCAUAAGUGAUCUUCUUCUUUAUGCUUCACCAAUGGUGACAACAUUUUAAAUCAAUGAGAUAUUCAUUAUAUUAGCAGAAAUUACGAGGGAUCUCAACGAGAAUAUUAGAAUAACCCCAAAAUAAUAAAAAGGAUGAUUGUGGCUUGAAGACUGGUUCUCGCCACAAGUUGGGCUGGUUUAUGCUCAAUCCACGGCCAUAACAUCCUAGAAAAAGUUGAAUAAAUAAUAUUUUGUGAGUUCUUGAUGGAGCGAGAGUAGCGGAAGCAAAACUGAUUGGGUAAGACAAAGCGGAAGUGGAAUUGAUAGGAUUGAAAACACUAAAUAUCAUUCUAAUACUUGACCAAGCCAACACGAUUAGGUUACGCUUUAAUCGAAGCAUGAUUAGAUAUCAUUUUAAUCCAAACGACUCAAUAAGAUUUUUAAUAACGUUUAAAGUGAGAUUAUAUAACGUUUUAAUCCAAACAACUCUACAAAAGAUAUUUUGAUAGAUAAUUCCAGAGGAAAUUAUAAAAGAGGAAAUUUUAUUAAAUAAUUGAAUCUGAAGUUGUGAAAAUAAUAACAAGACCUCUAUAUUUAUAAUAGAGUAAACUCAUUUCCCUAAGUUAACUUAAAAAAAGGAAAACUAAAUCGUAAUUAUAAUGGAAAUAAAAUAUACUUUCUCUAAGUUAACUAAAUCUCAUGCCUUAAUUGACUCUAAUAAAAAUAGAAAGUUCUAAAAUAAUAAAAUACCAUAAUUGACUCUAAUUAAAAUAGAAAUCUUAGAAUAAUAAAAUUCUAGAAUCUUAAAAUUUCUAAAAUAACGUCCUACAUUAGUUCUAGUUGAUAUUGUUAAUUUUGCAGAAAAUAUUUUUUAAGAUAUUAAAAUCUUCAUAAAUCUUUUAUAGACCUUUCCUCAUUUAGGCCUUCUCGAAAAGCUAGAACUUACAAUCAAACUUUUGCCCCAUUAUAUAACAUAUGUUAGUAAAAUUCAUUUUUACAAAUGAUAAUUCUAUUCACCCCUUUCUUUAUAUUUUCUAAAAGAUCUAAAAUUUUACUCCCAUACUUACGGAAAAAUUCAAACCUUCCAAUGAUAGGCGAUGGUGAUGAUGAGAGAGAAAGAAAAAUAAAAUAAAAAUAAUUAAUAAUAUAAAAUUUUUUAAUUAUAGUAAUUUUAAAAAUAAACAUUUAAUACCCAUAGCUAAGACAUCCUUGAGUUGGGUUGGGACCCCAGGCAUGGUCAUAGCAGGUAUGAAACCUUUUCAAUUGUUCGGUUCCUUAGUUAGCUCCUCAAACUUCAGAAAGUAUACAUUUCCGAGGAGGUGUCUUCACCUAAAACCAAAUCAACUUAUUUGAGCUCAACAAAAGUUUGUAUCUCCCUCUAAGUAACAUAUAUUUAUCUGGUCUCAACAUACACCUAAUAUUGAAAUUCUUUUCAAAAGCAUCACUUCAUUCAAUGAAAAGCACAUUGGCCAAUGUAUUUGCAGUCUUUUACUAAGCGGGUACCAUCAAGAUCAACCGCUACACCACUUUUUAUGCUAUUUCAAAGAAGAUUAUAAAUAUUUUAGAGUUCCACAAACUCUAUAAUAUAGAAACUUAAAUCAGUGCACUACGCAUAAAUUUCGUACAGAAAGAAUAUUCAAACAUCUCUAUAAACACAAACUCUCAAGAUGUUUUAGAGUUAAACAAAGCUACCAUUUCAUGCCUAGAAAAAAUGUAACAAUUUUUCCCACCAGAGUGGUUAUUACUCAAUACGGAUUUGCCUCAAGUCACCGGAGAGGCUUUUAGAGCAAAUUCAACAAUUUUGGGUUCUAAAAUUUUGCUCUUUAAAGCGUUAUUUUGGCUUAGUGUUUCAAUUAUCAAGAAGAGGUAUAAAGAUCAAUGGCUCCUACUAUCCUAGUUUUAGCUUAAUAUGUAUCUCUCAUUUUAAUUAAUAUGGUUGUUUCUUAAAAAGUUAAUUAAGAUCAUUGGCUUUGAAUUACUACUAUAGGAUUUCGAAAAUGAUAAGCACCCUAUUUCUUCUUCAUCUUUAAAAUCACCCAACAAACCAAAGUUUGUUCAAAUUUAAAUGUCCCUACUAUAUCAGUGCUAACAUUUGUCUCAAAAUUUUGCUCCAUUAAUCCGUGAAUUCAAAAGGAACAACGAUCUUUUCCUAUCCCUAGUCCUUUUUUAUUUUUAUUUUUAUUUUUAUUUUUUACUCUCAUAGUUUAGUGAGUGGCUAAGAUUGAAUUUUAAAUUUUAAUAUUGAUAAUCAAGUCAGCUUUUUUUUUAAUUUUAUUUACAAUUAAGCCAACUUUAAAAAAAAAAAAGAUUUGAAUAACUAGCAGAGUUUAGGAGAGAAAAAAAAAAUUAAGAGAGAAUCCUAAUCCAACUUGGAGACUCAUGUUGAUACUUGUAGAGACUGUUCUGCUGCCUUCCACGUAGAAAAAUAUUUACUUGGAUUGAGACUAGAGAUUUUUUUUCCUUAAAAUAUCUUUUUUUUAAUCAUAAGUUUGUGAGCAACAUAUAUGAAUCACAUUGGUGUUGAGGUUUGAUUUUGAACAAGUCAUCUUUAGUUUAAAAUUAUAAUACGAACCGAUAUCUAAAGGUCUGGCUUCUAAAUCAGAUAAAAGUUUGUCCAUAAUUAACUCCUGGCGAUGCCCAAAAACUCUAUGAACAAAUUAUUAUACAAGCAAGCUGCUGCAUGAUUAUAUUUCUUAUUCGUGGAUAGCACUUGUAAUAAUUCAACUUGAUUUUCUUUCAAUGACGAUUAUAGCAUGAUUCAGUCAUUAUGUUUAUCACAAAUUUUUAUUUGUUCGUGUCGUUUUGCACAUUGGCACCAAAGCACAAAGUACAAGGGGCAAUUGUUCGAUAUGAAGAUCACCGGCAUGGUUAACAGUAAAAUGGCCCAAUAAGCAAGCCCAAGUGCAGAAGGAACAAAUGGAAGCCCAAUAUUGUUUUCACUCUUGACACCCAGGAAAUCAAGCAAGACUCAAUAAAAGCACAUUUAUUAAAUAUUUUUUUAAUUUUAAUUUCUCAAACGAAUUGAUAACAAAUAGCUAGGUUGAGGAGUAUAUGUGAAUAUUGUUGAUAGGGUAGUACUAUAAAGGUAAAGAAAAAGUAAAGAUGAUAGUAUAAUAUAUUUAAUAAUAAAUGUAUAUUAAAGUACUUUUUAAAAUAUAAGAAUUAAAUAAGUAUUUAAAUCAAAAUAUAAAAACCAAACAAGUAUUUACUUGAUAAAACAUCAUAGAAGUUAUUUUGACACCCAAGACUUUUAAGUAUUUAUUAUAAAUAAUUGCAAAGCCAAUUAUUUAUUAUUUAUAAUGAAACUGAAAUUUAUCUCCGCGUGAAAAUAAAGGACUGAAGGCGAGAAAAGAUUCCUCUCCACGUGAAAACAGAUGUUGAAAUGUUUUUGCUAUUCGUUUGAUGAUUCGAGGAUUCACAAUUGCCGAUAAGUCCAAGAAAAAUUCCAAAAAUUAUCUUCCAAAAAUAAAGGAGUUAAUUGUGUGUGCUUUAUGGUAUAACAUUUUUGUCGAUACUCAACCCAACUCAGAAAUCACGAGUUGCACAGUCAAUGAAAAAGAAGACAAAAGUCAAUAAAAGCAAAGACAUUAAGACAUUGACUGAUGAUAGCAUGGUGGGACAUUAAGUAUCCCUAGGGAUUAAAGUAGAAAUUUAAUAAAUUUCUUAUCUCAUAAUUUUUUAUGAAAAUAAUAUUUAAUAAAUUUGUAAAAAUUAUUUUUUUAUAAUUUUUUUAUUUUACUGCAUUUUUUUUAAAAAAGGUUGAAAUUUACUUUUCAUAAGCAAUUUAAAAUAAGCCAUCACAAAUUUUCAAAGUUUAUAUUAUAACAUUAAUAAUUUAACAAAAAAGAUAAUCAUAGCUUAUGUUUCCAUACACUCUAGUUUAUAAGCCAUUAGAUAUCAUAUUAGCAUAAUAAUUUACCAAUGCAACUGAUGUGCAUUCUCUCCAAUAUCAAAGUUUUGAUUUAGUAAUUUCAUAUUUUUUAUAUUUUAUUUUUAUUAUAAAAUUAAUGAGACUUAUAUAUGAUUACAUUUUUUUUAAUUACGAACAAGUCCAUGUGAAAGUUAAUCAUGACUUUUAAAAUUAAUUUCAUAACCAUAGAUUUUAACGUUCAAUCUAUUUUCUAUAGUCAUGAUGCAUGAUGCUCAUGAUGCUCAUUGCAACAAGUUGAUUCUCUUAUUUUAAGAAUCUUGUUACGGUUUCCUUUGCAUUGAUUCUCUGCUUUGGUGAUUCCACAGUACACUCCAUAGCCAAAUUGAAGACAAAUGACAUACAUUGCUCUUUGGUCAUAAAAUGUUUGUCCUCCCGACUUAGCAAAUUUGCACCAACAACUUCCAUAACUGAAUUGGGUAGCAAAUCAUUAACCCAAUGCUUUAAUGUCAUUUCUCCAUGAAAAAAAUUAAUUGUGGGUUUCUUCCCGCUGAAUGUUUCCAUUAUCAUAAUCCUAAAGUUAUAAACAUCCCCAUUGCGGAUACUUUUCCUUCUCUUUAAUACUCAAUGGAUUUCAACAAUUAUAUACUACGAUAAAAUAAUUUACAAUAAUAUGCUCAAAUGAAGAUCGUAAGAAAUAAAUAACAUAUCAAAAAAUAUUAAAGAAAUGAAAAAAUAUUUAAUGUGGAACAAACCUGGUGCCAUAUAGCCUAUGCCAAAAAAUGAGCAACCAUAUUAUCGUCUAGCAAUACAUUACUUGACUUUAAAUCACAAUGAAUAAUUACAUGUGUUGAAUGACCAAAGUGUAGAUAUUCCACAGCUGAUGCAACAUCUAUCAUUAUGUGUAAUCUUUGAAAAAAAUCCAAAAUGUAGUUGCUUGUAGACAAGCACUUACCUAGACUUCCAUGAGGCAUGUAUUCUAAUAUCAAUGCUUUAAAAUCAUCCUUUGAACAACUGCUAAUGAUUUUGAUAAGGUUUUGAUGGCGAAUAAUUUUCAUCAUAUUACAUUCAACAUCAAGGUUCUUAAAUGCUCCUCCAUAUUGCAGGUUAAAACCCUUUACCACAACUUCCAUCCCAUCUUGAAUUCUUGCCUUAUAAAUAGAGCCAAAACCUCCUCUGCUAAUUAGAUUGAAAACCUCCUCUGCUAAUUAGAUUGCUUUCACUAAAUCUGUUUUAGCUUGAAAAAGUUCUAUGUAUAAAAACUUUCUCCAAAUUGUUGCUGGUGGCAUAUUAGUAUCAUCUGGUAUGUGUUUUCCUCUCUUUCGAUAUCUCAAGAUCAACACAAUGAGUACUAUUAUAAAUAUAGUACUCAAUGACAAGACAAUCCCUAGGAGAGGAUCCUUUUCCCUUGAUGUGUGGUGGAUUCUAGUUCUGCAUGGUGGAACUUGCAGAUUGGGUGUGCCACACAAUAAUUCAUUUCCUUCAAUGAUUCAACUAAGAAAUUUCUAAAAGGUCUAGGAAUCUUUCCUUCGAGCGUAUUGAAAGAAAGAUUUAAAUCUUUGAGAUCUAAAAGUUUUUCUAAUGGUAUAGGAAUAGCCCCAGAGAAAUUAUUAUUGGACAAAUCCAAGGAUUUCAAGCUUGUCAAAUCACCAAUGGAAUUACGAAGUGAGUCUUGCAAUCUAUUAUAUUCUAAAAAGAGAUAUUAUAGAUCAUUUACGUCACCAAUUGUAGUUGGAAAAACACAUGAGAAAUUAUUCGUCGACAAAUCUAUUCUUAACAAAACCUUCAAAUUAGACAUCUAAUUAAAUUAGAAAACAGAUAUUCCUAAUAAAUUAGAAUCUCACUAAAUUAGGGAAUUAAUAAAUUAAUCUCUAUUACAAGAUAUGCAAUAAAUAAACUUCAAAUUUAACUAGACUUGCCAUAAGAUGCUAACUCUAUAAUAAUUGACUUAACACAAAUCUUUGCUAAGCUUUUGAAUAAAAUCAUGACAUGUCAUUUAAGUUUUUUAGGCUUCGUUUGGUAUAUAUUUUCAAGCAAAGUCUAUUUAAGUAGAGCUUCUAUUAGUAGAAUUUUAAUAAGCAAAGCUUUUAUAAAAAAAGAUUGUGUUAUUUGGUCGUCAAUUAAAUGAUAUUUAAUAAUUAAAAACUCUACUCAAGAUGUAACCAAAUAAUAUUAAAAUUUCAUUAUUUAUAAUUUUUUAUUAAUAGAGCUAUUAAUUAAUGAAUAAAUGAUAUUUUAUAUCAUUUUAUUAAAAAAAGAAUGAACAGCAAGAUUGUAAGCACCGUGAAUAACUGUGUAAUCGGCCAAAUACCAUUGAAGAAAUUCGGAGCUCCACACGUGUCUCAGCCGCUCGCACGAGUGCGAGAAGAAUUUUCGGGCCGUGGAUCUCUCUUGUUACCAAGGAUGCUUCUCAGCAUAUCGUAGCCUGGGGACUCUCCUGGGCUUAAUUAAUGUAAUCAGCCCAUCCAGGUCACCUUACGAGGUUUGCGUUAGUGCAUAAAAUACUUUCGUUUUUAUCAAUCAUUUAUCAUUAGGAGCAAGAGGGGAAAAAGAAAAUUGGUUACCUUCUGUUGUCCUUGUGAAUGGUGUGCGUUCGUUUUUAUUAUAAUACACAUAAAAAUUUAUUUCUUCUAUAGGAACAAUGAGCAAAGGUAAAGUUAUCUAAUCAUGAUUGAUUGCUAACUAAAAAAUAUAUCUAUAUUUUACUAAUUUUAUUUCUUUAAUUUUUUAUCUCAAUAUAAAUAGUAAUAAUUAUUAUUUUUUAAAAUUUAAUAAUUUUAUUUCUUAAUUAAGUAAGGAUAAUUUUAGACACAAAUAUUUUUCACUCAAUCCCUUAGGUACUAAUACUUCUUAUUGAUCUCUGAAGUUGCUUUUACUUACUUAUUUAAACCAUAUAUGAAAUUUGAAGAAUGUCAAUCUCAUGAUAUUACAGAUUCUCCGUAGAUAUUCUUUGACAUCUAAUUUGAUUCGAUGGACAAAUUAUUAUUAACAAAUUAGUAGCUUCUCCUCAACAAAAUGAGUAUUGAUGAGCACUUCUCUUUCAGAGUCACUUAUGGAGAUUGAUCUUGAUGUGAAUUUCCUGUUAGGGAACCAUAAUCUCUAGAAGUGGUUCCGAAUAUAGAAUUUUCUUCUCUAGUACGAAGAGAUUCUGCAAUUCCGGGUCACUUGAGGACAUCGUUGUCGCCUUGCAAGCGGAAGAUUCUUCACUCAGUCCUAAGAACAGAAGCUGAAUCAACUCAGUCGGCUGAGUUAGGAUAGAAUAACAUUACUAGAAGAAAAUUGACCUAUAUUUUACCUUUUUAGUUCUUAAUCUCUUUCUUAACAUGGCAAUUAGGUCAAGAGGAAAAUGAUUUGAACAAUUUGAAGCUUCUUAUCUGAGGUUACCUAGGAAUAUUCCAUACUCAUGGGAAUUUGGCUCUUUUCAUUUCUCAGCACUAAGGAGUUUAAGCACAGUCAAUAAUGAAACCCAAUUGAGAAAUAUUAUCAUCUGUUGCCUAUGAUUUCAACUGGACCAAAAUGUUUGUUUUUCUUUUUAUCUUUUAAAAAAAAAAUGAUUUAGCGAUCAUGUCACUGGUUUUUUCAACAAGAUGAAUGAUUUCAUCUUCUCAUUUAUGAACAAUUCUUUCCAGCACUCUUUAGGAGACUCACGCUCAUUCACUAACCACUCACCAUGCUCAGAAUGCAAAAUGCGAAAUAGGAGUAAUAUAAUAAUUUACUUGUCUAAUUUCAACACAUUUUCAAACUAAUUAAUCCCACUACAAGAAAAAGUUAUUUAUGUGACCACUAUUUUGCAGUUACGUAUGGCCUAUAUGACAGCUAUGUAACGGCAGAGAGGGGUUACAUACGCGGCCAUUGCAAAAGCUUUGUAACCGUUGCAAAUGCUUUUUAACUGUACUUUUGGCGUGCAGUAACAAAAGGUAGUAACGGUCACCAAAAAAAAAACCACCUAAAUGCGGCCACAUUAAGUAAUGGGUUGGAUGCAAGUUUUGUGACAGGUGGAAGCUGUCACAAAUUUGUAAUGCUUAAUUAUUCAUAAUUUUGUGAUAUUUGACUAUUUGUCAAUAUUUUAUCUCAUUUUCCUGAUAUUUGUCAAUGACAACAAAAAUUCAACAUUGUUCAUUACAACAGUACAACACUAAAAUUAAUUAUCAUGAUACCAUCCAUAAAGUUCAAAUUAUAUACUGAAAAUGAGAGAUUAACAUCAAGCCGCAAGUCUCCAAGUCAAAAAUUAAAAGUAUACACAGAUGCAAAUACAAGCCUACGAUACAAAGUCUUACAAAAAAAAGAAAAAGUGUGAAUCCAGGGGUCUCCAAUGCAUCUUAUCAAACGAUAGCCUACAAUAGAAGCAACAAUAUAUUAAAAAUGUGCGAGACAAACACACUUAAAUAUCAUAAUUAUAUAACUAAGCACUUCUUGCUAGCAAUAAUUAGAAGCGCUCUGGUACAACUGUUAAUGUCUCUAUCCUUUGUUGAAACUCUUAGUUAAUUUGCAAAUCUAAUAUUCAUUUUCCAAAAAUAAUAUCAACAUUGAACAUAUGAAAAAUAAUGAAUCAUAAUUUUACAAGUAAAAGUAUUUAUCUAUAAAUAGACGUCAUAAUUUGCAGCAUAACUGCAUGACGGUGUUGAUGCGCAUUGGAAGCAUCGACUAUCUACUAAAAAAACAAACAUUUUGUUUUUCCUAAGAAACACAGAAGGAAAUGUAGUCUAUAGAUUGAUGAUGAAUAUGCAGCCAAUAUAUUUUACUAAAUUGUAAGAUGUAGGAAAUGUAGGGAAGGGCAUUAAGUUGCAAGGUUCAGUUCCAAGUUGGCAAUAAAAAUUGCUAUUAUGCUGCAACUUUUCUCAAUAUACUCCACACUUUUCACCCUAAAUUAUACAUUUAUUCUAAAAAAAAUUUUAAAAAUCAUUUUGAAUUUUAAGUAAAUAUUCACUAUAAUCUGAUGAUUGUUAAGUUCAACUUUAAUUAAUAUUUUACUAGAUAUUUGGAUCGAAAAUAAAAGCCUUCAUGUUGGCAUUGCCUUGUCCAGCCUUCACUCCUUUGACUAACCUUGAUUUAAACAUUAUUCAAUUCUCAUUUGAUUCUGAUUAGGUUAAGAUUAUAGAUCGUCUAGCAAAUGAGUAGUACAUUAAACAACUAAAAUCUUCAAAUAAAUGUCUAGGAUGGUCAAUCCAAAUACUAAGCUAUUAACUGCUAAUGUUUACAUUUUAGAGUUUUAAUUUUUUUUACUUUAGAAUUUAUUUGAUUUAGCUGUUACUUUUAAUUUUUAAAAUAUUUAAAAUAAAUAAGUAGACAAUGGUCAAAGGGUUUAGUAAUUGCGUACACGUAUUAGUGUUUUAUAUCCAUACCUAAUGCACCCAAUGAAUAGGUAUAAAAAUUUAUAUCCCUAUUCAAUUUUUUAUAAAAUAUAGAUAAAAUUAGACCUGACGCCUAAUUUUAACGUAACAGUCCCUUGUGCUUGUAGGGAUUUUUUGCCAUCCCUAUAUGGGACUAGAACAAAGCUAACACGCCUAUCUAAUGAGACUGGACCAUAAUUUUAUUUAAUAGAUCUUAGGCCUGGAUCAGUCUAGUUGCUUCCUUUUUGAUACCUUUGGCUGCUAUUUAGGUAGCAUUUACUUCUCAUAUUAGAGCAGGAAUUGUGAGAUUGAGAGUAAAAAUAGGUUGUUUACUUACAUUAAAAUGAGAGUAUAGAAUAGGAAUCAAAAUUCCAUUUAUGUGUUUAUUUGUUUUAGAUUAAGAGUCAAUUGUUUUAAAUUAUAAUUUUACCCUUAUUUAAAAAAUUGUAGAUUUUAGUUACAAGUGAAUGAAAAAUAUAUUUAUAAAAUAAAAUAUUUAUUUUAUUAUUAAUUUUAAUUAUAUAAAUUAAUAAUAAUUAUCAAUAUUCUUAAUUAUAUAAACCACAAUUUUUUAUUUAAUUUUAAUUUAAUUAAUUAAACUAAAAUUAUUGAUAAGGGCAACACAAAUGAAACAUCAUUAUUAAUAAUAUACUGCAAGGUUAAUAUUUUCUUAGAAUAAACUAUUUAUUAUUAUUAUUAUUAUUAUUAAUUAAUUAAUUAAUAUUAAAGAAAUAUAAUACUAUUAAAAUUAAAUAAAUAUAAUAAUAUUAUAUUUAAUAAGCCUAAUAUUAUUAUUUUUAAUAAAUGUAUUAUUAUUAAAUAAUAUAAUAAUAUUAUUUAAAUAGAUAUGAUAUUUUUACUUUUAAAUAAAUGUAACAUUAUUUUAUUUUAAUGAAUAUAAUUAUAUUAUAUUUUAUAAGAAAAGGGUGAAACAAGAAGAAGACCUCCUCAGGGUAGUGGAAUCCUCUUAAAUUUCUAGCCUUAACGACACCAUAUCAUCUCCUUGGUCACCACGGACAAAAUUUCUAUUGUGAGCGACGCCGUUUUGUUCUCCAUGCUCCCUACCCAAAAAUCCACAAGCGGUGACUUCAUUCAACUUUUCCCAGCCCACUGACAGUGACGAGCGUCACACCCACACACCGUAUUAGGAAAUAAUAAUAAUUAUAAAAUUUUGAUGAUGAUGAUUGAAAUUAACUACCAAUGUUGAAUUCACCGUUAAGACCCUGAGGGAAACAAAUUUCGCCAAAAGCGAUUUGUUUCAAAGAGAUUUAAUUUCAAACAACUUUGAUUCGACAGUUACUCUCAUUCACUUCUAAUACUGCUAAUAACUUAAAGCUAAAAUUUUUCUUCUUCAGUAGUUAGAUCUGAGCAGUGCAGGGUGCUAAUACAUGAGUAUUUGUACUACAAUUUUUAAAUUGAUUAAAACAAAUCGCUUCACUGAUCAGAAUAUCAUCGAUACCCCAAAAAAAAAAAAUAUUAAGAAUUUUUAGAAUUCACAUGACAAAAUAUGUGUAUAAUUGAUUUACGUGGGCUUUAUGAAUCAACCAUCGAAAAGCCCACAACCUGAUCCAACGACACCGAUUCUUCUCGGCCACUGAGCAUAAAUUUCCCAAGUUUCAUAGUGAACGACACCGUUUUGUUCUCCUUGCUCGCCACGCAAAAAACUGCCAAGGAGUCACUUCACUGAAGUGCAAAUGUCAGUUAUCUUCACAGUUCACACGUUUAUGAAUAAAUUGAAAAAAAAAUAGAGAAAUUAUCCUAAAGAAAAUAGAGAAAUCAUGUGCGCAAAACCUUGCAUCGACUAUUAUUGUAAUGUGCUACAUAGAUAUCAAUUUAAUCUUGGAGUAAUGAUCUUGUGGGUGAACACGGUUCUCACCUUACGGUGAGUAGUAGUGCCACAUGGCGAUGUCCGGUCUGCGUGUCCAGUGCUAAAUAAUCUAGAUAAUUUUUUAUUCUUAUUUUUAUUUGUCAUUAUUGGGUGCUUGUACAGCUGCUCUGGGUGUUGCUUUACCAGUGUACUCAACAUUCAAGGCAAUUGAGAGGAAAGAUGAAGAUGAGCAACAAAAGUGGCUCAUGUAUUAGGCAGGUUGGAAUUUAUUUUUAUUUUUAUAAUUUAUUAUUAUUAUUUUUUGUUAGGCUUGUCACCUUGCUUGUUUUGGUACAUGAGGUUUUCAUAGAUUCCCAAAUUUCCUCUGCAUCCAUUAUUUUUAGCCCAAGCGUUUUCCUGUUAGAUGCUUUGAUCAGUUGGCCAAAAAAAUUGAAUAUUACCUUUAUGGUUAUAGUUAUGCUGAGAUCUUGCAUGGGUGAAAAUAUAUAGCUCUAAUAUUCAUGAUGACCAUCAAUGAUGAAAGUAACAAAUGCGCAGAAAUGCUUAUCAUAUGUUAAUAAAUUUUGUAAUCAAUAAAAGGUAUGUUGAUAAAUUUUGUCAUUUGCAUUUGAAAGGCGUACUUGUGGUAGUUCAUUCCAAGUGGGUACGUAAGCCUUUCCAACUAGUUUGCACUGAGCCAAAAAAUACGCUUCCAUUUCUCUAAUUUGCUGAUCAUCAUCACCACCUCCAUCAAAGUCAUCAUCCGAUCUUGAUGAUCAUUCUCCUGCUCCUCCACUGCCUUCAUCUCCUUCCUCCACCUCAUUAUUCAUCGCCGCCGCAGCGUCCGUGUCCCGGAAUACUCCAGCCUGCUAAUGAUAAUUAAUAAUUCGUCAAGAACACAACACCCACAUCAACAAAAAUGAAAUAAACUACUAAAAAAUGACAUAGCAAAGCAAAUAACGAAAAAAAAUAUAAAACAAUAAAGUAUUUAGGAUUUUGGAGUUAUAGAAGGCUUAGAGAGAGCGCAGGAGAGGCAAAGAAGUCUUUGGUUCGACGAGUGGGUGGCUUGCUACACGUGGACUCCCCCAUAGCAAUGAGAAAAUCAGGUGUUGAUGCUGAAAUCUGGUCGUCCUUUGCCCGACCUGAUCGUUCCACCAACGUUUGUGUUGUCCACGAAGGGAAGGUUGCACUCUCCCUGCUCGAGCAAUUGCCCGUGUUCCUGGGACCCAAAUCACCCUUUCUCGCCUUUCCAAGCAUGCGUUCAUAGAAACAAGUCAGAGACGCCGGUGGUUUUACCGGCGUAAACCCUCCGAUACUUAAGUUAGAACAAGGUGUUUACGGGUAAAUUGUAUGAUUUAAACGAGUAAACUGAAUACAGUAUUCUCGGCACAAUCUGUAUCGAAGAUCUGUGUAAAGAUGAGUUCGGAUUUUAAUUUGGCAGAGUUUUCCCUUUUCUCUCAAUUUUUUCAUCCCCUUCUUCAUCGGUCUCUCAGCUUCUUAUAGCCAUCAUCCCACGUUUUCUGAGUAUUCUUCAUGCCCCCCAUUUUCGGGUGAUGGCAGACCCUCAUGGGCCUCCAACCACCGAAUCGUGGGUAAACGUGGGAUGUCGUGUUCUCCCCCAUGGUUCGGGGCAUGGCGAAACUGUCGUGAUUUCGUGAGAUCGUGUGCUCUUCCUUUAGGUGAUGAGCAUCUGGUCGGUACAUAUCUCGGGUCGGUGCUCGUUUCUAGUUGGCACAUGCCCGUACACGAUAUUUACCAGGACUCUGCUUGGGCCAUUCAACUGGGGAGAUUUGCCUCAGGGUGAGAGAUGAGGACAUAGCUGAGCUGGUACUUUUCAUUACUCAACACCAGGAAAAAAAAAAGUUGUCUUGAGAGGGUUGAUGAAAUGGUUCUUGUGAGCAAAAAUGGUGACAUGUUGAAGUCUAAAAGAAUGAAGUCAAUUAUCAAACAAAGCAGAAUGAAGUCUAAAAACACAUUAAAAGAAAAGGAAUUGAUGUGUUUGUGUGUGAGAGAGAAAAAGAGAGUGUAUGUAUUUGUUUGUUUUAUUGAGAAACGAAAUGAUGAAAAAGGGUGUUAGGAGUUGACUGUUAGAAAUUCUGUGUGAAAAUGUGAGGAUUCAAGUCUCUCAACCAACUUUUGAAGGAUAUAUUAAUUAACACUAGCUAAUUGAAAUUUGAAAGUAUUCAAAUUAGUGUCAAAAUUACAUAUCCACCAAUAUUGCAAUUUGCAAUACUCAACUGAAAAUAGUUUUAAAGGAAAAAAUAGCAUUAACAUAAAUUUUGUUCUCUAUAUAGGUAAAAAGAAAUAUAUUUCAAACUCCAUUAAUUUUAUAUGUAGAAAUAUGAUGAAGAUUAAAUUUUCAUCCAUUUGAUAAUUAAGAAUCUAUCUAACUAAUUAAUAAUACUUUUAACAAAUCAAUGGAUAGCAUAGUCAAUAAAAUCAAAAUUACACACUUGUUGAGUUGAUUGAUUAUUUUUUUCCAAAGUAAUUAACUCAAAAUCUUGAAAAUUUCUCUAUACCUAAUGAAGAAAUAUGGUAUCCAACCUAAUGAAGAAAUAUGGUAUCCAACAUUGCUAGGCGGCGGUUUUAGGCUUUAGAGAAGCUAAAAUUAUAGAAAUGAAAGUAUUUUUCUUGCCCAAAUUUUUACUCUCAUAAGAAACUUUUAUUCUAUUCACAUUUCAUAAAGGGAAGACAAUAAAUAAUUAAAUAAGGGAUUUAACCUCAGAAUAUUAUGUGGAAACUCAAACUGUUAUUCUCAUAAUUGUUUAUGAGGCCACUCUGCCUUUUGUCCGAGUGAUUGCAUUAAUGGCAUUAAAUUGCAUAGAACGUAGGAAAUUGACCCACCACCAUCUAUUAUAACAUCACAAAUAAAUAAAAGUAAUGAUGAAACUGAAAUUAAUUCGAUCUUUUAUCUUGUAGCUAUGCUUGGUAAUUUCCACCUGAUUCAUGAUCCCAAUUAGAAUGCCUGAAAUAAAUGCUUUCUUUUUCUUGAUUGUAUCAUCAUCACUUUUGUGAAAAAAUUUUUUUUAAAAAAAAAACAGGGAUGCUGGGUCAAUCGGUCUUUAAACAAUUCGAUUAGACACGUGUUUACUACAUUAUUUUUUAUUUUAUUCAUAAGUGAUUAUCCACUUACUACUCAUUUUUCACACAAGUUUAAAAAAGCACAAAUUUUUCUUUCUUUUUUCUGAUAAAAUUUCCCUUGAAGUUGACAUUAUUUUCACUUGUUUCAUUGUGGUCUAAACUCUAUUAGAAAUUUGUUGACGUCAGAAUUAUCAAAAUCAAAAUGAAAUUUUAUUUAAUUUUUAAUCAAAUAAUAACAAAAAGAUGCAUCACUGGUGAACAGCAACUAGUGUUGGUGGCAUGGUGUGGCAAGGCGCGGUGGUGUGAGGAAUGGGGGUGCUGAAUCUACUUGAUGCUGCGUUCAGUGAUGUCACGCAGUGGCAGGAUAACUUAUCGUGACUGAAGAUGGUAAUGAGUGAAAGACAAGAGAAGAGGCUACAAAAUUUAUUUGACUGAGAAGAGAAGGUAAUGAAUUUUUUUUUUUUUAGAGAAAGAAGAGAUGAGACUACAAUUUUUGUUGGAGACCAAGAAGAGGCUGACCAUUAGAAAAAGAAAAGAGAGUGAGAGAGAGAGAGAAGAAGCUGAAUUUGGUGCGAGGAAGUAAGAAGACUUGUUUCAUUUUGAAAUAGAUUGAAGAUAGGCUUUGCGCCUUGCUGCUGCUGAUGCUUUUUUUUUUUUUUUCGUUCUUCUUCUCUACUACUUUGCCUAAAUUCUUUUAAUUUUUUGGUUUUGUGAUUUGGUUAUUGGAUUGAGUUUGGGAUUAGGUUUGGGUUUUAAUUCUUUUAAUUAUUUUCAUUUUUAAUUUUGAUUAUUUUGUUUCAUUUAUUAUAAUUUUAUUUUUUAUUUAAUAUCUAAAUUGCAAAAAAUAAUCAAAGUCAUCUAAUAUUUUUGUCAUUUAGAUCGGUGAAAUAGUAAUUUUACAUUAAAAGAGCAAAACAAUCAGCAUAUUAAUAUUAUGUUAAAUUCUCUUAUGGCGUUUAGACAAUAGUAAAAUAAUAAUACAUUUUGUAAAUUUUGGAUGGAAUUUUAUAAAAAGAAAAAUUGUAUAUUUUUGAAAAAAUAUAAAAAAUAGGUGGCAUAUGGAAUUGCCCUUUUAUUUAUCAAGCACAUGCGUCAUGUCUUGUCUUUUGAAUUUAAUGUCUUCUUUUAUUUUUUUAUUACCCAAUUCAUUCAAAAUAAUCACAGUUAUGCCACUUUUCAAUUUAUAUAUUUUAGAAUAUUACCUUUAAAUUAGUAGAAUCAUCCGAUUUUUUAUUGGGAUUGGGAAUCUCGUCCUGAACCAUAUAGAGUUUAGUUCAGUAUAAAUUUUUUAAAAAUUGAUUUAAAAUUAGUUGAGAUUUAAUAUAAAAUUUUUCCCAAUUUAUAAUUUAGAAUAUCUGAAAAUCUCAAUCAAAAUCUUGAUUCCCUUGACUAUUGUUUUAAUUUUUAAUUAACUAAAUUAAAAAAAAAUCAUUUAUCUUAAAAUAAACAAAAAUGAUUGAUCCAAGCACGAAUCCAAACAAUUCACUACUUUGCAUUCACUUUUAGAGUUUAUUUAUUUAUUAUUUAUUUUUUUAACGACACUCAGUUUUAAAGUUUAAUUAAACUAAACAGAUGAAGAAGAAAAUAAAUUAGUUUGUUGAUUUACAUAUUAAAUUUAGAUAAUGAAUGGAUAAAAUGGGGACGUUGGUAUUUAGAAUCGCAACCUGCAAUAUAAAGUACGAAGUGUGUGUGAAUAACAAGCUUUACCAUUUCUCCUAUACAUACAUAUCUAUUAGGAUGAGUUGAGACUUGAAAUUUUUGUUUUUUCUUCUCUCUCAUAAAAUAACUUGUUUUUCAAUUUUUAAUCAGCUAUAUAUUAGAACCACGUUGGUCUUGGGAUUUGAACGAAUUAUCUUUAGUUCAAAUAAAAGAUAAAAAAAUUAACUUUUCAAACAAUAUAUAUAUAUAUAUACAUAUACAUAUACACGAUGAUUUUUCAUUUGUUCGUCGGCUUUUGCACCUUGCUGCCGAAGCAACGAAGGACAUGGGGCAAUUGCUGUAUACGAAAAUCACCCGCAUGAUUAACUAUGAGAAGGCCCAAUGACCAAGCCCAACAACAAAAGGACCAAAUGGAAGCCCAAUAUUGUUUCUACUCUUGACACACCAGACACAGCAAAUGGAAUCUUCCUCAAGCAAGACUUAUUAAAAACACAUUUAUUAAUUUUAUUUCUUUUACUUUCAAUAAAAAAAUGAUAACAAAAUAGCUAGGUUGAGAAAUAUGGUCAAGGAGUGUGCGCAAAUUAAAAAUAAUAAUUAUUUUCAUAAAUUUAUUAAUUGUAUUUUCUAAUUAAAAAAUGAUAAUUUUAUGUCUGUAUAAUAUAUAUGAGGUUAUACGUGGAACUGUAUGAAAGAUUAAACUUUUCAAGAUUAAAUUUGUUAAAAAACUGAAGUAACAAAAAUAAAUUAGUCCGAUCUAUUGACUUGACUAGGCUAGACUGCAAACAUUAGCAUGUGGGUUCAUAUUUUUUUUUCAAGUAAUUUUUUUUAAUCUCUACAGUUUGAGUAAACAGCAAUGUAAUUUAUACCACACAGGUAAAAAUAAUUUAAGAAAAUAAAUAAUAUGAAAUAUAAGAAAAUUAAUGAUAAAAUAUGAUUAUAUUGGUUUGAAUAAGAAAAAUAUUUUUGUAUAAGAAUUCCAAUCUUAUGCAAUUUAUACCACAGGAAGAAAAAUAUAUAAUUAAUUCAAUCCAACUUAUUUUGAUUAUUAUUAUUUUGAAUAUAUAAUUAUUAUUAUAUAGAUGUGGAAAAAUAUAUAAUUAAUAUUGCCAGUAUCGCAUACAGUUGCAAAGCUACAGCCUUGCAUCUUGAACAACCUUCGGAUAGUCUUGACUCUUGAAACCAAAUACUCUGCUACACUUGAGUGUAGCCAAUGAACCGUGGUCCUUAGCUAUAAUAUGAUCAUGUGAUGGAGUAUUGUUAGCCUAAAGGGCUACAUAUAAUGUAAUUUUGAUGAUAACAAACAUGUUUAUUAAACAAUUUAAUAAAUAUUGUAUUUCACAAUUUUCACUAGUUUUUGAAGGAUAAUAUUUAUGCAAGUGAAUCAAGUGAAAUUAAGCUCAAGACACUCAACAGACAACGGCGAAAUCAAGAAUAAAGUUUAGAGCUCAAACGGACAAAUUAGUGUGAUAAAUUCUUGUAAAGCCGGUAUGAUUUAAUUGAUGCAUGAUUUAGCAUUUGAGAAGCUCAAGAGAGUAAUUUAAUUAAAUACUUUUCAUAAACUAAAAGUUUUAUUUUUAUAAAGUAAAGUAUUUUGUGGAUUUGAGUAAUUUGGACUUAAAUGCUAAGUUUUGAAAUCUUUGAUUUUAAUAAGUAUUAUUAUUAAAUUUCAGAGUUGGACGUUUGUACAAACAUUUGAAAUGUUUUGGGCCAUACUAUAAUUUAUGAAUAUUUUGGACUAAAGUGGAAGUUUUGAGAACUUUGAAAAAUAUGGGUAUUAUGUUGAAAAGGACCUUUUUGCAAAAUAAUAAUAUCUUCGGGGCCAUAUAAUAAUUUCAAAAAGUUUGGGAAAGACAACUAUUUUUAGGAAAUUCUGAAAUUGGACCUAUUUGUAAAGUUUUAUGAUAUUUUGGACCGUAGUAUAAUUAUAGAGAGUAUUUGAAGGCUUGGUUAGUGAAAUCCUCAAGCCGGGUGAGCUUGGAGGCGUGGACGUAGGCGGGGAUAGCCGAACCACAUAAAAUCCUUGUGUUUGUUUUCUCUUCCCUUACUCUUUAAAUAUUGUGCUUGAUUGAAUUUAUUAUUUUUUGAUUUGAUUAAGGCAAUAGAUUAAAUUGUUGUACGAAUUGUAUUGCAUAAAUUUUAAAAUCUCAAUUCACCCCCCCUCUUGGGUUGCAUAACUUGCAUUUCAAGUAUCACAUAUGCAAUUUUUGUAACGGAUAGACAAGAUGAAUUUAAGUGAAGUGAAAGCAUAAAAAAAAACAUAACUACAUAAAUGAAUCCCUUCAUGAUAUGUUUAGAACAGAGUUUUAUACAAGGAGUCGGUAUAGUGUCGAGCUCUCAAAAGUUGUCUUUGGCUACCAUUUGGCAGCUAAAGACCUGGUACAAUCCGUUUAUUAACCGGUUGCACAUUAUUUUAAAUUUAAAAAAUUAAAUAAAAUAAUAUAUUAAUUUAGAAAUUAUAGAAAAAAUAUUAAUAGUAAAAAAUAAAUAGAAAAUAAAAGAAAGAUAUAAUGUUGUCAAAAUCAAGAAAAAAUUUAUAUAAUAAAUUAAAAAUGUUUGUUUCAUAUAUUAUAUGUGAUGUGUCAUAUUUAACAUCAAAAUUUUUUAGAUGUUUUGUUAUUUUUCUCAAGUUUGUUAUUCUAAAUAACCUCAAAAAGUUUUUUCUUCCCGUCCGUUUUAUGUUUGACGUCCUUAUUGCAUGUUUGACCCCCAUUCUUACAUCUUUCACAUGACAUGUUGCAUGUUGACAUAGUUUUCAUGUUUAACCUCAUAUAUUACAUGUUUGUUCUCACUUGUUAUGUGUUUCACGUGAAAUAAAGUCAAAAAAUGAAAAUUAUCCCACUAUUUUAUGUUUCACGUCCGCGUUGCAUGUUUGAUUUCCGUUAUUGCAUUUUUUAUGUGAACUGUUACAUGUUGACAUGGUUCUCAUGUUUAACUUUAUGUGUUGCAUGUUUGACCUCAUCUAUUGCAUGCUUUACGUGACCUUUUUACACGUAAAUUUCAUGUUGCAUGUUUGACCUCACUUAUUGUAUGUUUCACACGGAUUGUUGCAUGUCUUGAAUAAAGCCAAAAAAUAAAAAAUUUCUCACUCGUUUCAUGUUUCACGUUCGUAUACCUCCAUUGUUGCAUCUUUCACGUGAACUAUUGCAUGUUUCUCAUCUUUAACCUCAUCUAUUGCAUGUUUGACCUUUGGUGUUGCAAGUUUUACCUGACCUUUUUACAUGUAAAUUUCAUGUUGCAUUUUUUAUCUCACUUGUUACAUGUUUGAUCUCACUUGUCGUAUGUUUCAUGUGCAUUUUCACAUGUUUGAAUAAAGCCAGAAAUGAAAAUUUUCCCGACUGUUUCAUGUUUCACGUCUGUGUUACAUGUUUGAUCUUCGUGUUGCAUCUUUCACAUUAACUGUUGCAUGUUGAUGUCAUUCUCAUGUUUAACCCCAUCUGUUGCAUGUUUGACCCCAUAUGUUCCAUGUGACCCUCUUACAUGUAAAUUUCAUGUUGCAUGUUUGACCUCAUUUGUUGCAUGUUGCAUGUUUCACAUGGAUUGUUGCAUAUCUUGAAUAAAACCAAAAAAUGAAAAUUGUUCCAUCUGUUUCAUGUUUCAUGUUCGUGUUGCAUGUUUUACUUCCGUCGUUGCAUCUUUCAAGUGAAUUUUUGCAUGUUGAUGUGGUUCUCAUGUUUAACCUCAUCUAUUGCAUGUUUGACAUCAGAUAUUGCAUAUUUUACAUGACCUUUUUAAAUAUAAAUUUCAUGUUAUAUGUUUGACCUCACUUGUUGCAUGUUUCACUUGAAUUGUUCCAUAUCUUGAAUAAAGAGAAAAAUUGAAAAUGGGUGAGGAAGACAAAGUAACAGUGCAUAUAAUCACGAAGUUGGCUAGCCAACUUAUUUAACAAUUAAUGUAGCGGUUAACCACUUCCACUCCAGAGACACCCAACAAUGAAACAGUUAGCCAAUUGAUAUAACGUAGAAUUAAGCGGUUUAUCGCUUCCACUUCGGAAACACUCAAUAAUUAAGUGGUUAGUCAACUAAUUUAACAAGGAAUCAAGUGGUUAACUACUUGCGUUCAAGAAAAUAGCUAACAAUGAAACAGUUAGCCAAAUUGUUAAGCAAAGAAUUAAGCAGUUAGCUGCUUCCACUCCAAAAACAACUAAGUAUGAAACACUUACUCAACUUAUUUCACAACAAAUGAAGCGGUUAGCUAGUACAACGAAUGUUUGACGUUGAUAUUUCAUGUAUCACAUUGUCUAACACAUGUAUAUAUAUCAUGUUGCAUUUCAAAAUUUCUUGACAUUUCAAGUGAUAAUUUAUAAUCAAAAUUAUUUGUUUCAUCUUCUUUUUUAUUAUUAAUUAAGUUUAAUUAAGCCCCAUCUAUUAAGAAAAAAAAAUGAAAAUGUUGCCUAGUGUUAAAAUUAUUUGAUAAUUCAAGUGAUCAUUAUUACUCCAAGUAAUAAUUUAUCAUUUUAGUUAUUAUUUGUUUCAUUAUUUUGUAAUUUGUUUAAUUCUUCAAACGAAAAUAACUAUGAUGACAAUUUUAAAUUACCAAAUAACCUUCUUUUUUUUAGUGCAAUUGGUAAUUUGUAAAUUUUUUAUUUUAAAAAUCAAAUAAUACAUACAACACAUUAAUUAUUUUGGAUUAAUUUCAUCAGAGCUUGUAAAUGAAACCCAUAAACAAAGGCAUCUCAAACUUUGUAAUUACAAAAAAAAAAAAAAAAAAAAGCGUAAAGAAGAGAGUUGGCGGGUGCACGCCAUGCGCGAAUUAAUUUUCACCAUCAUCUUCCACCAUAUGUCGUGAGCAGUGGAGGCUUUCCCUCCCCAUUACCAUUACAAAAAAAGUGUCGAAAAAGGUGUCGACCUGUGUCACACCCCCAUCCAAGAAGUGAGCUAAAAAUUAUGAAACUCCAAAGCACUGUCUGAGCAUAGCACACAAACUACUUCCAGCAUCUCCAUUAACAAAAUAUUUGAAAAAAGCAAGGCAUGAGCUAUUAGCCCAUACACUUUUAAGCAUAAUGAUUCUAAUCACAUCUCAUUUAACCACGAGGCCAUGAAAACAUACUCAAAGAUUCCAAAAGAAAAUUGACAUUUAAACACAUAAGAAUCAAUCUUAUGAAUCCAUCAAUUUUGCAAUCAAGCGAAAAAAAUGUCAAUCUCUGAUCUAUAAGACCAAACUUCAAAGUCUAUAAUUUCAAUGAUCAAAUAACAAAUGAUGUACAAAUAAAAUUCAUGGAAAUCUAUAGAAACCUUUGGCAUUAUUUUAGACCAUGUAAUAAGUACAGGCCUUGUUCAAUAAUCCCUUUAAAUUAUUGGGUUGGUUCAAUUACCAUACAAAUUGGCAGAUAUAAUCUAGACAUGUAAAGCACCUAGAAUAUAACAUCUUAGCUCAAAUUUAGUUACAUUUAUUACUAUUUCUAUGACCCAAUACAGAGUUACAGAAAACUGGUUUAUUGGCAGGAAACACCAACAACCUAAGCUUCUGAUUUUCUUUAAAAAUUCAAUACUAUUCAGAAUAUUGUGAAAACUUCCAAAAUAUUAUUAGACACAACAUAUAAAAUUUUCAAGCCAUUUGGACAACUCCAUAAUUGGUUCUCACAGGAUUGAACUAAACAAAUCAAAACUGCCUUUUUAAUUCACACAAAAACAGCUGAGCUUUGGUGAUUUAUUAAAAUUAAAAUACUCAAUAUGUUGGGAUGAAAAUUCCCAGAACAUAAUUACACAUAUAACUUGAUAACAUAUUAAAAGUUCAAGACAUUCUGAUAUCAUUAAGCUAAUGUUUCAUAAGAUCAAACACAAGUGAAUAGUUCUGUCAAGGGGUUUACGGCUAAAGUGGUGGAGUUUGAAAAAUCAUAAAAAACAAAAGAGAACCAGAUGUUCAAUUACCAAGGAACUUUCAACAUUUAAAAUACAUUUAAAAUAGACUUAUCGAAGUUUAAUAUCUCAAAAUUUUAGCUCUUGUUGACACCAAUAGAUUAUUCGUUUAUAACACCAAACAUGGUACAUACACAGUUUUUGAUAAAUUCCAACAGCAACUGACCAAUUUGACAAAUCCAUUAAAAAUCAACUAUUAGUUCAAUUCAUUCCAAAAUGUCCAGACUUGAAAUAUACAAUCCGGCUUUUAUUACUCAAAAUUUGAAGCGAAUCUAGCAUCAUUUAAUCAUAUUUUGAAACAAUCAAAGUUCUGAUAACAGUCCAACAAUCUUUAAAUUUUCUGCAAAAUCAAUAAACUAUUUUUUAUCUUUUCAGUUCAAUAAUCAAUUUUCUAUCAAAAUUAGACAUGCAAAACCAACAACAACCUUACUUUUCAGUUUUGAGAUAACAAAACAUCAAUUGCACCAAGUUAACUACCUAAAUCACAAGCUUUAACUUCCUGGCCUCUUAAUAAAGCUUUCUGUCACCUUCGCAAGUAUUAACUUCAGUCCUCACAUUACCAAAAAGCCUACCCAAAAAAAAAAAAAAUGAUAAUCAAUCACACUUCCAUUAAACAAAGUCAUAAGAGCUUAUUUAAAAAUUGAGGCGUUUCACCUCUUAACGAAUAGCUCAACUCCAAACUUCCAAUCUAUAGCACUACAUAAUUGAAACAUACCACCACCGAUCAACAAAUAACCCAAAAAAUUGCUAAGACUUUCAAUUAAAAAUAAAAGCUGGUGAUUAUAUAGCAUCAAUAUAUAGAAUUAAAUCAUCAAGCAACAGUAUAUGAUGGUGAGUCUCUAGAAACAUCAAUAAAAAUUUCUAAAAAAAGGGCAAAAAACAGCUUAAAAAUGACAUAAUGAAUAUCAACACAUAUAAAAUAAGAUUGGUCAAAAAAAUAAAAAUAAAAGAAAAAAAGCUGAAUGGGGAAAUCUUUACCAAAUUAGUGAGCACCCAUCUUUAGGAUUCCGAACAAUGAUUGCAGAUCUCAAAACAAGCAAACAACACCAAAAACCAAACAAGAAAAAAAAUAGUAUAUCAAGAGAAAAAAAUUAACUUGUUUUGAGGGUUUUCGCUGGUGGCUUCAGGAAGCCCACGCGGCCACGAUUUCGGCCAAAGCUAGGAUGACGGCAGUGAAGGUUGAAGAACUGAUGGUAUAGUCAAUGGUGCGACAGAAAUAAUGGUGGGCGGUUGGAAACGCAGCAACAGACGUGAUACCAACUUUGCCUCUCCCUAGCUCUCGUAUACAAACCAAAUACUAGGGUAGAUGACUCCGAUUGGUUGAUUAGUGUGAGAGAGAAAAUGGAUUUGAUUUUAGGUAAUGAGCAAAGAAAUCAGAUGAUAGAAAUUAUGGAUUUCAAAGAGGGAAGAAAUUUAGGGAUUCCCCUUUUAAGAAAGCGAAGAAAUCAGAUUGGCGAGAGUGGGGCCGGGGCGGUUAAAUGGAUGAGAGAAAUUAUGGAUUUCAAAUGAAUGAGAAAUCUGAUGGUAUAAAAUGUUUAUUAAUAUAUACUUGAGAACCAACAUCUCAAGUUCAAUCGAACGGUUUGAUUUCAAUUUUCAAUAUGGUGUCCGGGCUUAGUGCCCGGCAUUGUAGCUUUAACCCUUAUACAACUGAUAAUAUAUAAGAACUUGUAUUGGUGAAUUUACAGACAUAAUAAAUUAGGUGUAAAAUCUAUAAUGUACUUCUAGUAAACGACAACUUUAUGGAGCAAUAAUCCUAGUUUUCUUUUCUAAUUUUAUGAGCAAGUAAAACUCGUUAUAUUUUGCUUCAUUAAAAAAGAAUAGUAAAUGGCUUGCCUAGCUUUGAGCAAAGUAUUUAGAUCAUUUGAUAUGUAAUAGGUGCCAUUUCUCAAUCUACCAGCUUUGAUAUUGACAAAAUGUAGUACACGCAUAAGCUGAUUAUAGUAAACAAUUUGGCAAGAGUUCUCUAUAGAAAAUUAAUGGGGACAAAUGACCUUAGAAAUUGAAUAAGAUGCUGCAAAUUGACCAAGUGACAAAUCCGUUCCCAUCCGAACCAUAGCUAAUUUAGAAUGAAUAUUUGAAAAUAAGAGAAGGCAGGACACAUGUGGGCACAGCAACCGAGGAAAGCAGACCUAGCGUUGGCAUGAAUUAAAAGUUAGAUAAUACUCUUACACACUAUUUUUGAAGGCAUUCAUGGCAAAGAUUAUAAUUCACUACCAGUGAAAGAAAAGAAAAUCAAUUUGAUUGUCUCAUACGUCUAGCUCUUCAACAUUUUAAAGCAACGAGCAUCUAAAUUUUAAGAAACCCAUUACAAUUUCCUUUGCAUUGAUUCUCUGCUUUGGUGAUUCUACAAUACACUCUAUAGCUAAAUUGAAGACAAAUGACACACGUUACUCUUUGGUCAUAAAAUGUUUGUCUUCCCAAGUUAGUAGAUUUGCAUCAACAACUGUCGUAACUGAAAUGAGUAGUGAAUCACUAACCCAAUACUUUAAUCUCAUUUUCUCCUGAAAAAAUUUCAUCUGUGAGUUCAGUGUAAUAUAUGUUCUUUUCUAAUUUUAUGCGCAACUAAGAAUAUCAUUUUAAAAGGAAUUGUAAAUAGUUUCCCUAGUUUGAGCAAAGUAUUUAGGUCAUCUGACAUAUAAUAAGGUCCAUUUCUCAAUCUACCAGCUUUGGUUUUCAUGAAAUGCGAUGUAUGCAUAAACUGAUGGGUAUAUAACUAAAUGCACUGAAAUUUUCAAUCCUUCUAAAUCCUACAAAAUAUUCAUAGUUUUUCACACAUGAAGCAAAAGAACAAUAAUUAAAUCACACUGACCUGAUUAUAACAAAUGAAAGUCUAGAUUUUCCCUAUAGAAAAAAUAUAAAUAUAAUUAAACCUAAACAAAUGGUAUAAAUCUCUAAGGAAAAUUAAAGGGACUCAAAUUGCACAAUAACAAAUCACCUUAGAAGUUGAAUAAGAUGCAGCAAACUGACCAAGUGUCAAAUCUGUUCCCUUCCGAAUCAUAGAUAAUUUGGAAUGAAGGAAUAUUUAAAAGUGAGAGAAGGUAGGAUACAAGCGGGCACAGCAACCAAGGAAAGCAGACCUAGCAUUGGCACAAAUUAAAAGUUAGACAAUACCCAUACACACAAUUAUUGGAGCUAUUCAUUGCAAAGAUUAUAAAUCAUUACCAGUGAAAGAAAAGAAAAUCAAUUUGAGUGUCACAUGCGUCUACCCUCAACAUUUUUAAGCAAUGAAUCUCUAAUUUGUAAGAGUCUUCUUACAAUUUCUUUUACAUUGAUUCUCUCCCAUGGUGAUUCUACUGUACACUUCAUAGCUAAAUUGAAGACAAAUGACACACAUUGUUCUUUAGUCAUAAAAUGUUUGUCCUCCUGACUUAAUAGAUUUGCAUCAACAACUUCCAUAACUGAAAUGGGUAGCAAGUCAUUAACCCAACGCUUUAAUGUCAUUUCUCCAGAAAAAAUUUCAUCUGUGGGUUUCUUCCGGGUAAAUGUUUCUAUUAACAUAAUUCCAAAGCUGUAAACAUCCCCAUUUGUAGAUACUCUUCCUUCUCUUCCGUACUCUAUGAAUUGCAACAGUUACAUAGUAAGAUAAUAUAAUUCAUAAUAGUAUGCGCAAAUGAAGAUCCAAAUAAAUAGAAAACAUAUCAGAAAGUAUUAAGGAAAUAAAAAAUAUUUAUUAUGUAACGAACCUGGUGCCAUAUAGCCUAUGGUGGCAAGUGUUUGUGUCUGAGUCAAAGAUUGAUCUUCUUUGAGUAAGGGCUUUGCCAUGCCAAAAUCACUCAAAUGAGCAACCAUAUUAUCAUCUAACAAUACAUUGCUGGGCUUUAAGUCACAGUGAAUUAUUGGGACUGAAUAACCAAAGUGCAGAUAUUCCAAAGCUGAUGCAACAUCUAUCAUUAUGUUCAAUCUUUGAAAAAUAUCCAAAAUGUUGGUGCUCGAAUACAAACACUUCUCCAGACUUCCAUGAGGCAUGUAUUCUAAUACCAACGCUUUAAAAUCAUCAUUUGAACAACUGCUAAUGAUUUUUAUAAGAUUUCGAUGGCGAAUACGUUUCAUCAUGUCACAUUCAAUAUCAAAACUCUUAAAUGCUUCUUUAUAUUGUAGGUUAAAAACCUUCACUGCAACCUCCGUCCCAUCCUGAAUUCUUGCCUUGUAAACAGAGCCAAUACCUCCUCUACCGAUUAGAUUGUUUGCACUAAAUUCGUUUGUAGCUUGAAAAAGUUCUAGGUAUGUAAACCUUCUCUGAUUUGCUACUGGUGGCAGAUUAGCAUCAUUUGGCAGUGACUUCCCUCUCUUUCGAUAUCUUAAGAUCAACAAAAUCACUACUAUCAUAAAUAUAGUACUCAAUGGCAAGACGAUCCCUAUGAGAAUAUCAUUCUUCCUUGAUUUGUGGUGGAUUCUAGUUCUGCAUGGUGGGACUUGCAGUUUGGGCAUACCACACAAUAAUUCAUUUCCCUUGAAUGAUUUCGCUGAGAAAUUUUUGAAAGGUCCCGCUCUAGGAAUCUCUCCUUCUAGCUUAUUGAAAGAAACAUUUAUAUAUUGGAGAUCUAAAAGUUUCUCUAAAGAUGUAGGAAUAGCUCCAGAGAGAUUAUUAUUGGAUAAAUCUAAGGAUUUCAAGUUUAUCAAACCACCAAUGGAAUCAGGAAUUAAGCCUUGUAAUCUAUUACAUUCUAAAAAGAGAUUUUGUAGAUCUUUUAGGCCUCCAAUUGUUGUUGGGAUAGCACCUGAAAAAUUAUUCAUCGACAAAUCUAUUUGUACCAAAACCUUCAAAUUUCCAAUCCCUAGUGGGAGUGAGCCAGUAAAAGAAUUUGAAGACAAGUUAAGGUACAAUAUGUACUUAAUGUUCCAUAAAGUUGAAGAAGUAGAAGUUAAUUGAUUGGAGCCCAAAUUGAGUUUCUUUAGAUAGGUGAGAUUGCCAAAGCAUGCAGGGAUGAACCCAGAAAGCAUAUUACCGCCCAAGUCCAACUGAAAUAGUGCAGCUAAACGACAAAGAUCAUUUGGGAUUGAUCCUUCCAAUUGAUUAUCUUCAAAACUCAAUAAUUGAAGCUUUUGUAAUUUACCGAGAGUAAUCGGAAUUGUUCCAUUUAAUUUGUUUCCACCUAAAUAAAUUGCUAUCAAGUUGGUCAAGUUGCUGAUCUCUUCAGGAAUGCCGCCACUAAUGUUGCAACUAACUAUCCAAAACUCUUCAAUAGAUUGAGAAAGAUUGCCUAUAGCCCUUGGAAGAAUGCCAUCUAGUAGAUUAUUAGACAAGCUAAAAUACUUUAAAUACUUGCAAUUUGACAACGAGGAUAGAAAGCUCAAUUCUGGAGUCGAAGAUGUCAAAUAGUUAUCAUUUAAUCCAAGCCACUUAAGGUUUCUUAAGUUGACAAAUGUGUUUGGAAUGAAACCGGAGAAGGAGUUUAUUUCCAACUCUAGUCCGGAGAGCUUAGAAGCAUUGAAAAUGAAAUUAGGAAUUGUGCCAUUAAAAUUAUUACCCCACAAGUGAAGCUCUUCAAGAUUUGGAAGUCGAACUUCUGCGCUUGAUGGAAGUCUUCCCGAGAGUGAGUUACUCUGAAGAUGAAGUGAUUUGAGUGUUGACACAUUGAAGAUUGUAGUUGGGACAACACCAACUAAUUUGUUAAAACUAAACGCCAUCCAUUCUAGAUUAUGGAGAUUACCGAUUUCAUGUGGUAUCUCACCUGUAUUUUGAAACAAAAAAUAAUUCAAAUUUAUUUUUAAUAAUAAAUUAUACACUUUUAUAUCAUGAAAUGAGUAUUUGUAAUUAAAAUUAGUAAAUAUGAGUUUAAGAUUAAUUAUUAUACAUAGAUAAAAUGUUAAUAAAUCAUUAAAUUUUAUUCUUAUUAAUUAAAUAUAAAUAUUAAUAAUUUCAGUAUUCAUGUCAUUAUUAAAUUAAAAAAAAACUACUCAUCUUAAUAUUAAUUUGAAUUACUAAUAUAAUAUUUGUAUGAACAUAAGAAUUUUUUUCAAACUAAAUUUUUACUUUAUUUUUCUAGGUGCUACUACAGUGAAUAUAUGAAUUGAUAUCAUGGUGGAAGAAUAUUGAUUUCAUGAUUUAAAAAACAAUUAAUCUAUUUUAGACUUUCCUUUACAAAAUAAAAACACUUUUUUUAUGCCUAAAUAAACGUCUGAACUUAACUGCCAUUAUCACAAACUGUUGCUUGUUUUUUACUUCUUCUUCCCUACUACUUAUUGUAUCACUAACUUUUGAACUUUUUGUAUAAACAUAAGCAAAGAAGAAACAUUGCCAAUUAAUUCUUAAUUCUUUUACAAACUUACGUCAUGGAAUUAGAUUAAAAUUGGAUGCGCUACUGUCAUGGUAUUCUGCAAUAACAACUGACAGAUGAAGUAGACAACAUCAAUUGAACACCAUUUCUAUUUGCAAUCUCUAAAAUUAAUUUAACUUUUCACACUUAUAGAUAUUUUCAAUCUUUCUAAUUCUCCAUCUGAUUUUGGACCCUAGAAAGACAAUUAAAAAAAAGAACAAAAAAAGAAAGUAAAGAAAAACAUAUAAUCUGCUUGAUAGAUUAUCAAAAUUUGUCGAGUGAUCACAAAAUAAAAGAAAAUGCAAUAGAAAGAGAAAGAGAAAAACUAACAAAGUGAAAGAAAUAGAAGGUUUAUGUUUGUUAGACGUUCGUUAAUCUUAGAGCCGUUAAGUCUUAGAUUUUUAAUUAGGCAAUGAAACGAUGUAUUUUAGUUUUAAUAAGGAAAGUCUAAAAUAAUUUAAAUCAUAGACUCACUAAAAUGCUUAAACAAAAUUGAUUUUCGAGCAAAUAAACACCUGCUAUUCUAGGAACAAGCGCACAGUGGUCCAGGUAAAAUACUCGGAGUGAUAACUAAAAAUAUGACAUAAAUAUAAAUCACACAUACCUUGGAGUCUGUUUUGGUAAAGAGAUAAAUACUUAAGCUUGGUCAAAUUGCCGAUUUCUUUUGGUAUGUCUCCCGAGAAGUCAUUGACCGACAAAUAUAAUUUUUGUAGAAGCUUGCACCUUGAUAAAGUCGAUGGGAUUUUGCCGUCAAAGCUGUUUUCGCUUAGAAAGAGGAUUUCCAGAAAAGGAAGGUUGUUGCAAAUAUUUGCCGGGAGUUCACCUGGGAGUUCACCAAAUAAUAUAUUAUAUUCAUUAUUCAAAACGAAUAUUAUCUAGUUAAGAAAACUUGCACAACAUGGAGGAAGGGAUUGGACCGGAGAGCUGGUUAUAGCUAAGAUAAAGUAUUUGAAGUGAAGAUGGAUUCCCAAGUUGAGAAGGAAUGAUGCCUGUUAAGAAAUACUUUGUUAGCGAUGGCAUCUCCAAUUAUAUAAAGAUAAGUAGAGAUUUCAUGGCAAAUAUUUUAUGCUAAUGUCAUAAAUGCAUAUUAUUAGCAAAGACUACCUGUCAAGUUAUUAACUGACAAAUCCAAAUUCGAUAGAGAAGAAAGAUUGAAGAUUGAUGAAGGAAUGGUUCCAGUUAAGAAAUUUUUUUGUAGCCAUAACUCCUCUAAAUCUGCAAGAUUCCCGAGCUCCUCUGGAAUUUCUCCUAAAAUCCAAGAGUAACAUAUGCGUUAACUAUUUUAACUUAUUAACCGGCACUCAAGAAGAAAAAAAGGAACUAAAAAAUGUUUUUGCCUGAAAAGAAAUUAAAAAAAGAACAAUUUAUCAAAACAUAAAUAAAUAAAGUUUUUGUCAAAUGACGAGACAAGCCGAACCAAACAUGCUCUAAGGCUAGGAUUUAAUCUAGUUUAGACUUUCCUUUCCAAAAUCAAAACGCUUGCUUUCAUGCCUAAAUAAACGUCUGAACUUAACCGCCAUUAUCACAAAUUGUUGCUUGUUUCUGACUUCUUCUUCUCUACUACUUAUUAUAUCACUAACUUUUAAACUUUUGCCAUAAACUUGAGCAAAGAAGAAACAUUGCAAAUUAAUUCUUAAUUCUUUUACGAAUUUAUGUCUUGGAAUUAGAUUAAAACUGGAUGUGUUAUUGUCAUUGGUAUUCUGCAAUAACAAUUGACAGAUGAAGUAGACAAUAUCAAUUGAACACAAUUUCUAUUUGCAAUCUCUGAAAAUAAUUUAACUUUUCACAUUUAUAUAUAUUGUUCCAUCUUUCAAAUUCUCCAUCUGAUUUUGGACCCUAGAAAGACAAUUAAAAAAAAGAACAAAAAAAGAAAGUAAAGAAAAACAUCUAAUCUGCUUGAUAGAUUAUCAAUAGUUGUUGAGUGAUCACAAAAUAGAAGAAAAUGCAAUAGAAAAGAGAAAGAGAAAAACUAACAAAGUAAAAGAAAUAGAAGGUUUGUGCUUGUUAGACGUUCGUUAAUUUUAGAGCCGUUAGUCUUAGAUUUUUAAUUAGGCAAUGAAACGAUGUGUUUUAAUUUUAAUAUGGAAAGUAAAAAAUAAUUAAAUCAUAGACUUAGAAAGGCAUAAACAACACGUGUCAUGAUCUUAUAAAAAAUUUAAGAAUGAUUAGAAUAGGAGAGGAUUGAAAUCCCUUUAUCUAUUAUAAUUCUCUGCUUAAAUACUAACAAAGAGGUUCAAAGUUACUGUCAACAUUUAUUAUAAGGUUUCCAAUUAAAAUGCUUAAACAAAAUUGAUUUUCAAGCAAAUAAACACCUGCUAUUCUAGGAACGAGCGCACGGUGGUUGAGGUAAGACAUUCAGAGUGAGAACUAAAAAAAUGACAUAAAUAUAAAUCAUACAUACCUUGGAGUUUGUUUUGGUCAAGAUAUAAAUACUUAAGCUUGGUCAAAUUGCCGAUUUCUUUUGGUAUGGCUCCCGAGAAGUCAUUGAUCGACAAAGAUAAUGUUUGUAGAUGUUUGCACCUUGAUAAAGUCGAUGGGAUUUUGCUCCCAAAGUAGUUUUUGUCUAGAAAGAGGAUUUCCAAAAAAGGAAGGUUGUUGCAAAUAUUUGCGGGGAGUUCACCUGGGAGUUCACCAAAUAAUAUAUUAUAUUGGAAAUGAAUAUUUUCUAGAAAAAAAGACUUAAAUAAGAUAAAGGAAGGGAUUGGACCGGAGAGCUGGUUAUAGCUAAGAUAAAGUUUUUGAAGUGAAGAUGGUUUCCCAAGUUGAGAAGGAAUGAUGCCUCUUAAGAAAUCAUUUGUUAGCGAUGGCAUCACCAACUAUAUAAAGAUAAACAGUGAUUUCAUCUCAAAUAUUUUAUGUUGAUGUCACAAAUGCAUAUUAUUAGCAAAGACUACCUGACAAGUUAUUAUAUGACAACUUCAAACUCGAUAGAGAAGAAAGAUUGAAGAUUGAUAUUCAAGAUAUUCUAACUUAUAAGAUUGAGCAUCACUGAUUAAGGUAAAAUAUCACACGAGUGGGUAUACCAUAAACUAUAAUAAGACGCACCUCGGAGUCUGUUAAACUGAAGAUCUAACUUUUCAAGCUUGGUCAAGUUACCGAUUUCCUUUGGAAUGGCUCCAGAGAAAUUAUUGAACUGCAAAACUAAGAUUCGCAAAUAGCUGCAAUUUGCUAGAUCGGAGGGUAUUUCGCCAUAAAACAUAUUUUUGGACAAAUAAAGUUCUUCCAGAAAAGGAAAAUUGUUGCAAAAAUUUGCAGGGAGUUCACCAGAUAGUCCAUUGACACUCAAAUCAAGAACUUGUAGACGAGGCAUUUUGAAUUUGAAAGAGGGAAAAGAACCAGAGAGUUGGUUAUCACUGAGAUCAAGCCAUUGCAGCUGAAAUAGAUUUCCAGCGUAAGGAAUGGUGCCUGUUUAAGAAAUUGUUUAUUAAUAGACUAUCUGCUAUAACAUAAUUUACAAAAUUUUGCAUAAUCUCAUAGAUUUCUAACAAUUAACAAGAUAAUGCUAAAUAGUGGACAUGACAUGACAUGUCCCCAUAAGAGAAUUUAUAAUAGGAGAUGUAAAAUUACAAAGAAGACACAUGUGCAUGUCGUUAGGGAAGUUACCUGUCAAGUUAUUAACUGACAAAUCCAAGAUCGAUAGAGAAGAAAGAUUGAAGAUUGAUGAAGGAAUGGUUCCAGUUAAGAAAUUAUUUUGUAGCCAUAACUCCUCUAAUUCUGCAAGAUUCCCGAGCUCCUCUGGAAUUUCUCCUAAAAAUCAUGAGUAACAUAUGCGUUAACUGUUUUAACUUAUUAACUGGUACUCAAAAAGAAAAAAAAGGAACUAAAAAAAAGUUUUUGCCUGAAGAGAGAUAAAAAACAAUUUACUCAAUAGAAUUAAAUAAUUAUAGGCUGACAGGAUUAAUAAAAGUGAGACAUUAUUAAUUUUCUUCAAUGAAUUAAACUCAUUGAUCAUACCUUGGAGUUGGUUCCCUCGAAGAUAUAACCCGAUAAGCUUUGUCACGUUGCCAAUUUCUUUUGGUAUGGUCCCAGAAAAAUCAUUAAGCGAUAAAGAUAUGUUUCGCAGCCGUUUGCAGUUUGAUAAAGUGAGUGGUAUCUUGCCAUGAAACAUGUUACUUUUAAGAAAUAGGGAUUCCAAAUUGGAAAGGUGAUUGCAAAAAUUUGGUGGGAGUUCGCCAAAUAGUGUAUUGUUUGUAAAACGAAUAGAAAGUAAAGAAGACAUGUUGAAGAUAGAGGCGGGAAUGGAACCCGAAAACCAAUUAAAACUGAGAUCAAGUGUUUGAAGAGACGAGAGAUUCCCAAGUUCAGAAGGGAUAGUGCCUGUGAGAUUUAACCCAGAUAUAUUCAAGGCUGUGACUCUAUGAGUACGGACAUCACAAGUGACGCCCGUCCAAUUACAGACAGAGCUACUUGUGUUCCAAUUUCUAGCCAAGAAAUUGGCUGGAUCCUCAGUUACAUGACCUUUCAGGGAAAGAAGGGCUUGUUGGUCUGUGGUAAUACUUGUAGUGUUGGCUGAUGCAAUCAUGAAGGAAAGAAUCAAGCAAUGGAAUAAGAGAAAUCUGAUCAUCAUCCGGGCAGAAGGAAUUUUUUCCAUGAGACUAGAAUAUUUAGAUUGUAAGUGUGUGCUUAAUUGGAUUGAUAAUGCAAGAACGCUCAUAGCUGCUUCCAAGUAUAUAUAAUGAAACCGAAAUUUCGAAGAAGCAGCAAGAAAAAAAAUAGAGGAGUGAAAAGACUAUACUCAUAACUUGUCGAAAGGUGCAAAAUUUUAUGUGGACCUGCUGCGUCAAGCCAAUCCUUCAGGUCGACACUCAGGAACACUAGAUAUUUCAUAAUCGUAAAUCGUAAUUAGUGAUUGUGGUGAGUUUUGUUUCCCUUUAUAAUCAUCCUAUUAAAUUAUUUCCUAUGAUUAGACUUCUAACCUCAUAACUUUUAUACAAAUUCCUAAUGAUGAAUUUCGUAAUCUCGUGAGUUUGGAGCAAAUAUGGUUAAAGGAUAUAAUAUUAAGUUUUAAUAUUUGCAGAUCCAAGAAAAGAUUAUUACUUUACUUAAAUAGAUAAAUUUACAAAGUUAAAUUCUUACAUUAUGUAGGAAGAGGAGUGGUUUUUUUAUUUUAAAAAAUCCUUUUUAAAUGUGAUUUCGAUAGUUUUAUCGCAAAAUAGUUCUACUCACUAAAAACAAAAAUUCUUCUCCAUAUUAGAGUAACUGGACAUAUAAUGCUCCUAGAAACUCAAAUUUUUAGAUAAGUUAAAAUUUAUAUUUCUAUAUUUUUUUUUCUGAAUUUGAGAUAAUUUACUAUUCGUGAAAAAAAUUAUACAAACCGGUGAUGUCACUCUCAUCAAAAUAUUGGUCGUCUGGUAAAAAUGUUCUUCGCGGGUCCACUCAGAAUCACUAGAUAUUUUCCUCUCUUCUUAUUAUGUGGAUCCAAUCAAAACUUUCCGCUUUUGGGAUUCAGCCAUUGGAUUUAAUGAAAAAGCUGUUCAAUGGCAAGAGCUUUGUUUAUUAGGUUUUUAAGAUUACCCUGUUAUUUGAUUAAAAAAAACUGUAAAAUAUGGUUUAGUUCUUAUAUUUUAAUUUAAGAGUUUAUUUAAUUUUUAUAUUUUGAAAAAUACUUCUCUUAUUAAAUAUGAGGUUCCAACCUUUAAUAUUUUCUUUUUAAUAAUAAUACCUUACAAUAACAAUCUUGGAGUUAUUAAUGAAAAAGGUUUAUUCAUCAAAUUAGCCUAAAGAAUUAAAAAUUAAUGUAAAUUUUUAUGCUAUUAUUUUAAAUUUUUAUAUACAAUUAUUAGUAAGAUUAUUGCAAUGAUAUUAAAUAUUACUUUCAGUUAGUUGAUAUUAAUUUUUUUAAAAUAUUUAUUUGUCAAAUUCUAGUUAAAGUACAAUAAAAUACUAUUUCUUUCAUACUGAUAUUUAUUGAUUAAUUUGGUAAUUAAUAAUUAGUUAACUUGCUAUUAAAUUUUUUUAGAUAAAUUAAUUAAUAUUAAGAAUAUUGUUGAUAGGGUAGCAUUAUAAAGGUAAAGAAAAAGUAAAGAUAAUAAUAUAAUAUAUUUAAUACUAAUAGUAUAUUGAAGUACUUUUUAAAAUAUAAGAAUUAAAUGAGUAUUUAAAUCAAAAUACAAAAAGUAAACAAGCAUUUACUUGAUAAAAAAUCACAAAAGUUGAAUGUUUCAAAAUCUUGACACCCAAGACUUAUCUAUUAAAAGAGGUCAUGAGAAUUAAAACUUAGAUGAAACAAUGCCGUAACGUUAUCACAGAGACGUGCUGAGAUUUUCCUAUUUUUAAAUUUAAAUUUGACACGCAUAAGAGAUAGCGAUGGUGAGAGUGGGACUGCUCACUUGGAAUUUAAAUUUAAUUGCACGGUCCCAUUCUCUCUCUGAUAUUUUUCGCAUUCUCUUUCAUGAAGAAUAAAUUAGCGGCCCAUUGAAUAGUGUUUAUGCGUGCUUUAUGGGUUAUAACAUUUUUGUCGAUCCUUGGAGAAUCCUUGAAAUGAAGACAAUCGGGUAAUGACUAAUUAAGUAUUUAUGAUGAAACCUAAAUUUCUCUCCACGUGAAAGAGAAAAAUCAGAAAAUAGAGGAGAGAAAUUAAAGCGAGAAAAGAUUCCUCUCCACGUGACAACAAACGUUGAAAUGUUUUUGCUCUUCGUUUGAUGCUUCGAGGAUUCACAGGUGCCGAUAAGUCCAACAAAAUUCCGCGGCUUGAAUAGUAUUUGUUAGUGGCACUCGUUUCUGAUCUUUUAACUUGAAUUAAAUUUUGUCGAUCUCGCUGCAAAAAUGAUCUUCCAAGAUGAAGAAAUCAGUGGCCCAUCCGUUAAUUGUGCGUGAUUUAUGGGUUAUAACAUUUUUGUCAAUAGUCAACCCAACUCAGAAAUUACGUGUUGCGAAGUCAAUGAAAGAGAAGACAGAAGUCAGUGAAAGCAAAGACAGCAAGACAUUGACUAAUCAUAAUAUGGUGGGACACUUAAGUAUCAUUUGGGAUUAAAGUAGAAAUUUAAUAAAUUUCUUAUUUCAUAAUUCUUUAUAAAAAUAAUAUUUAAUAAAUUUUGUAAAAAUUAUUUAUUUCAUAAUUUUUUUGUAUUUUACUACAGUUUUUAAAAACAAGUUGAGAUUUACUUUUCAAAAGUAACUUAAAAUAAGCCACCACAAUUUUUCAAAGUUUAUGUUAUAACAUUAAUAAUUUAACAAAAAAGAUAAUUAUGUUUUAUUUUUUCAUACACUUUAAUACAUAAGUUAUUAGUAUCAUAGUACCACCACAAUUUACUAUCGCAACUAAUUUGAGUUUUCUCCAGUAUCAAAAUUUUGAUUUAGUAAGUUCAUAUUUUUUUAUAUUUUAAUAUUAUUUUCUAUUAUAAAACUAAUGAGACUUAUACAUGAUUACACAAAUUUUUUUAAACAAUGAACAAGUUCAUGUGAAAUUUAAACAUAAGUCUUAAAAUCAAAUUCAUGACUAUAAUUUUUAACGUUCAAUCUAUUUAUAUUUUUUCUAUAGUCACGGUAUUCAUUGCAACAAGUUGAUUCUCUGCUUUUAAGAGUCUUGUUACAAUUUCCUUUGCAUUGAUUCUCUGCUUUGGUGAUUCCACAGUAACGCUCUAUAGCGAAAUUGAAGACAAAUGACAUGAACUUAGCAAUUUUGCACCAACAACUUCCAUAAUUGAAUUGGGUAGCAUAUCAUUAAUCCAAUGCUUUAAUGUCAUUUUUCCAUGAAAAAUUUCAUAUGUGGGUUUCUUCCCAAUGAAUGUUUCCAUUAUCAUUAUCCCAAAACUCUAAACAUCCCCAUUUGUGGAUGCCUAUCCUUCUCUUCCAUACUCUAUGGAUUUCAACAAUUACAUGGUAAAAUAAAAUAAUUAACAAUAACAUGCUCAAAUGAAGAUCGUAAAAAUAAAUAACAUAUCAUAAACUAUUAAAGAAAUAAAAAAUUUAAUGUAGAACAAACUCGGUGGUGGCAAGUGUUUGUGUUUGAGUCAAUGAUUGAUCUUCUCUGAGUAAGAGCUUUGCCAUGCCAAAAUCACUCAAAUGAGCAACCAUAUUAUUGUCUAGCAAAACAUUACUCGACUUUAAAUCACAAUGUAUUAUAGGUGCUGAAUGACCAAAGUAUAGGUAUACCACAACUGAUGCAACAUCUAUCAUUAUGUUUAAUCUUUGAAAAAUAUCCAAAAUGUAGUUGCUUGUAUACAAACACUUACCCAGAUUUCCAUGAGGCAUGUAUUCUAAUACCAAUGCCUUAAAAUCAUCAUUUGAACAACUUCUAAUGAUUUUGAUAAGGUUUUGAUGGUGAAUACUUUUCAUCAUAUUGCAUUCAACAUUAAGAUUCUUAAAUGCUCCUCCAUAUUGCAAGUUAAAAACCUUCACUACAACCUCCAUCCCAUCUUGAAUUCGUGUCUUGUAAAUAGAGUCAAAACCUCCUCUGCCGAUUAGAUUGUUUUAAUUAAAUCCAUUGUAUUAUUGAAUCCAUUUAUUGCCUUAAGGCUGUAUAUAUGUAUAUUUUUUAACUUUGCUUUGAACUCAUCUCGUGCCAUUGAGAUUUUGACUUUCUUCUGUUUAUUGCUACCAUUUUGAAAUUAAACAAUUGAUUCAAUUGAUCAACUUAUUAAUAAUCGAUCAACUUAAUUUUAUUUAAUUGAUCAACCUAGUUUUCUUUCAUUAACGUUUUAUAGCAUGAUUCAUUCGUGAUAUAUAUUUACAACAUUUUUUUUAUGUUUCCUUUGCUUCAAUUCACUCAUAAUAAAUCUUAAAAUCAUUAUCAACCAUCGUGAUUUAACUAUAAUAGUCUGAAAACAAUUUGAAAAAAAAUAUAACUCUAUGGAUAAUUCAAUUUUAAGGGUAUUAUCAGACAAAUCAUUGCACUAACAAUUUUGAUUGUUUGCUUGCAAAAGUAAAAUAUGCAUUUGUAUAACUGGUUUUGCAAUAAGAAAAAAUGUUAAAAGGUACCCCAAUUUUUUCUUUCAAGUUUCAAGUUAAUUAUAUGGUUGCUAAGUGAAUUAAGAAAGUAACCUCAUUGGCCUCUCUUAUAAUAUGGAUGUCUUUUGAAUUAUCUUAAUUUAGAAUUUAUUGACAUACACUAAUUGAUAAUUAACUUUUUUGUUCUCAUAAGUGAUCUUCUUCUUUAUGCUUCACCAAUGGUGACAACAUUUUAAAUCAAUGAGAUAUUCAUUAUAUUAGCAGAAAUUACGAGGGAUCUCAACGAGAAUAUUAGAAUAACCCCAAAAUAAUAAAAAGGAUGAUUGUGGCUUGAAGACUGGUUCUCGCCACAAGUUGGGCUGGUUUAUGCUCAAUCUACGGCCAUAACAUCCUAGAAAAAGUUGAAUAAAUAAUAUUUUGUGAGUUCUUGAUGGAGCGAGAGUAGCGGAAGCAAAACUGAUUGGGUAAGACAAAGCGGAAGUGGAAUUGAUAGGAUAGAAAACACUAAAUAUCAUUCUAAUACUUGACCAAGCCAACAUGAUUAGGUUACGCUUUAAUCGAAGCAUGAUUAGAUAUCAUUUUAAUCCAAACGACUCAAUAAGAUUUUUAAUAACGUUUAAAGUGAGAUUAUAUAACGUUUUAAUCCAAACAACUCUACAAGAGAUAUUUUGAUAGAUAAUUCCAGAGGAAAUUAUAAAAGAGGAAAUUUUAUUAAAUAAUUGAAUCUGAAGUUGUGAAAAUAAUAACAAGACCUCUAUAUUUAUAAUAGAGUAAACCCAUUUUCCUAAGUUAACUUAAAAAAAGGAAAACUAAAUCGUAAUUAUAAUGGAAAUAAAAUAUACUUUCUCUAAGUUAACUAAAUCUCAUGCCUUAAUUGACUCUAAUAAAAAUAGAAAGUUCUAAAAUAAUAAAAUACCAUAAUUGACUCUAAUUAAAAUAGAAAUCUUAGAAUAAUAAAAUUCUAGAAUCUUAAAAUUUCUAAAAUAACGUCCUACAUUAGUUCUAGUUGAUAUUGUUAAUUUUGCAGAAAAUAUUUUUUAAGAUAUUAAAAUCUUCAUAAAUAUUUUAUAGACCUUUCCUCAUUUAGGCCUUCUCGAAAAGCUAGAACUUACAAUCAAACUUUUGCCCCAUUAUAUAACAUAUGUUAGUAAAAUUCAUUUUUACAAAUGAUAAUUCUAUUCACCCCUUUCUUUAUAUUUUCUAAAAGAUCUAAAAUUUUACUCCCAUACUUACGGAAAAAUUCAAACCUUCCAAUGAUAGGCGAUGGUGAUGAUGAGAGAGAAAGAAAAAUAAAAUAAAAAUAAUUAAUAAUAUAAAAUUUUUUAAUUAUAGUAAUUUUAAAAAUAAACAUUUAAUACCCAUAGCUAAGACAUCCUUGAGUUGGGUUGGGACCCCAGGCAUGGUCAUAGCAGGUAUGAAACCUUUUCAAUUGUUCGGUUCCUUAGUUAGCUCCUCAAACUUCAGAAAGUAUACAUUUCCGAGGAGGUUUCUUCACCUAAAACCAAAUCAACUUAUUUGAGCUCAACAAAAGUUUGUAUCUCCCUCUAAGUAACAUAUAUUUAUAUGGUCUCAACAUACACCUAAUAUUGAAGUUCUUUUCAAAAGCAUCACUUCAUUCAAUGAAAAGCACAUUGGCCAUAGUAUUUGCCGUCUUUUACAAAGCGGGUACCAUCAAGAUCAACCACUACACCACUUUUUAUGCUACUUGAAAGAAGAUUAUAAAUAUUUUAGAGUUCCACAAACUCUAUAAUAUAGAAAUUUAAAUCAGUGCACUACACAUAAAUUUCGUACAGAACGAAGAUUCAAACAUCUCUAUAAACACAAACUCUCAAGAUGUUUUAGAGUUAAACAAAACUACCAUUUCAUGCCUAGAAAAAAUGUAACAAUUUUUCCCACCAGAGUGGUUAAUACUCAAUACGGAUUUGCUUCAAGUCACCGGAGAGGCUUUUAGAGCAAAUGCAACAAUUUUGGGUUCUAAAAUUUUGCUCUUUAAAGCGUUAUUUUGGCUUAGUGUUUCAAUUAUCAAGAAGAGGUACAAAGAUCAAUGGCUCCUACUAUCCUCGUUUUAGCUUAAUAUAUAUCUCUCAUUUUAAUAAAUAUGGUUGUUUCUUAAAAAUUUAAUUAAGAUCAUUGGCUUUGAGUUACUACUAUAGGAUUCCGAAAAUGAUCAGCAGCCUAUUUCUUCUUCAUCUUCAAAAUCACCCAACAAACCAAAGUUUGUUCAAAUUUAAAUGUCCCUGCUAUAUUAGUACUAACGUUUGUCUUAAAAUUUUGCUCGAUUAAUCCUUGACUUCAAAAGGAACAACGAUCUUUUCCUAUUCAUAGUUCCUUUUUUUUUUAACUCAUAUUUUAAUGAGUGGGUAAAAUUGAGUUUUAAAUUUUAAUGUUGAUAAUCAAGCCAGCUUUUUUUUUUAUUUACGAUUAAGCCAACUUUUUUUAAUUAGAUUUGAAAAAUUAGGAGAGUUUAGGAUAGAAAAAAAAAUUAAGAGAGAAUCCUAAUCUGUAAUACCCCACACCCGAUUAUUUUUGACCCUUCACCUAUAUAAAUUGAGCGCGAUUAAACGCUCGGAUAGUCGGAUUUUUUUUUUCGUCACGGGUCCGGUAUUAGCUUAAUUUGUAUUAAGCUUAAGUGGGAAAAAAAAAAAAGAAGAAAGAAGAGGAAGAAAAAGUCGGGUUUUAUAUAUGGAAAAAGGGGGGAAACUGUUUUUGAAGAGAAAUGAGAGAGAGAAGGCACGAGAGAGAGAGAGAGAGAAAGAGUUUGACCCGACAUUGACCCGGAUCCGACCGGAAACCCGCGACCUUGACACGAUUGUAUCUCCCGAUUCCGGCCACCUCACCGGCCGAGCUUGGUAUCGAUCUGAAGCUUGGAAGCCGACCGUUAUAUCCCAGCUGUCCUCGUCGCCGGAAACCGACCAGAACGCCGGCGAUUUGAGCUCGAAAACUCGCGGCCAAAACCCGUUUUCGCCGCCAUCGAUUUCGCCGGAGUUUGGGCACACUUCCAGCUGGGUUCUACUCCUCACGUCACCAGCAUCAUUUUCCGACCAACCUCGUCACCUGAAACGGCCGGAUUGCCGGCGAUCAACCACUUGGGAAGCUCGCGGUUUUGGAAGCUCGAUUUGCCGCCGUUGCCGCGCGUGGGAGGUCACCGCCGGCACCAUUGGACUCAUCGUGGCUUUAAAUUUCAGUUCUGAGCUUCACGUUGCUGUCGGAUGAAUUCCGGUGACCGUUGACCGGCAAGGGUAUUUUGGUAAUUUCACAGUCUAAGGGCAAUUUUGUAAUUUCAGAUUUUGUGGGUAUUUUGGUAAUUGCUGUAAUUGAGGAUAAAGUUGGUAAUUUAUGAUUUUGAGGUUAAUUUGGUAAUUUUGAUAUGAGGGUAUUUUGGUAAUAUUGAAUUCAAGGGCAAUUUGGUAAAUUCAUAAACUUGAGGGUGAAUCUGUAAUUUGUGGAAUCAAUGGAUAAUUUGGUAAUUUUAAGUUAGGGCAGUGAGGUAAUUUGAGAUUUCGAGGGUAAUUCGGUAACUUAAGUUGUUAAGGACAUUUUGGUAAAUUUACACUCCGAGGGUAAUUUCGUAAUUUUUGACAUUGUGGUUAU
rnacentral:lncRNA from 1 species